rnacentral:lncRNA from 1 species
AUAGAAGUGGGAAUUACUCCAGAUAUGUUGUUGGCACCGAAAUCUAGUUCACCCAACUGUGAUAGCUCUCCAAUUGAAUCUGGAAUGGUCCCUGUCAAAAAGUUUCGUGCAAUCCCAAGGUCUUUCAUGUUGACAAGUUUUCCAAUUUCACGGGGUAUGGUUCCGUAUAUUUGGUUUCCAAACAAAUAGAGUGUCUCUAUGGUGGUGGAGAGAUUUACAAUUGAGCUGGGGAGCUUCCCUCUUAAACCAUUCUGACUGAAGUCCAAGUAAGUUAGAAGGGUACAAUUUACCAGAGAAUUGAAAAAGAUCCAGUCUUGGAGCUGCGAAUAGUCUGCCAGUGGAUUCUGACCCAGACCUAGCACUUCAAGAUUAGGAAGGCUAUCCCAGUUGAUUGGUAUAGGUCCAGUAAUACUGUUUGCCGAGAUGUCAAGGUUAACAAGAUUGGACGCAUUAACUAUUGACGGUGGAAGUGGCCCUGAGAACAGGUUACCUUCGCCAUAAAAGCCUUGCAACUUCGGAAGGGUGAAGCCUAAAUCUGAUGGAAGUGUCCCUUCUAAUACAUUCUGGUUUAGACCAACAACAUAGAGCGACGAACUGUUGUAAAGUGAAGGCGGAACCAGACCUCCCAAACCGUUUACUCCUAAAUUAAGAAACUGUAAACUUGUGUGAUGUGCAAGUUCCAAAGGUAUGCCCCCAACUAAAUUGUUAUAGGCUAGAUCAAGAAAAAGAAGGGAUGAUACAUUACCUAUCGAAGGUGGAAUUGAGCCUGUGAAAUGAUUGACUCGAGCAUCAAACCGGUCAAGCUUAGACCAAGAGGAAAACUCGGUGGGUAGUUUUCCUUCAAGUUCAUUGUUACUCAUACUAAGUUUUCUAAUAUCUGUACAAUAACUCAAAUUGGCUGGGAAUCCACCUGUGAAAUAAUUCUGUCUCAAAUUAAGAUACUGGAGGCGAAACAAUAGGCCAAUUUCAUUUGGAAUCGAGCCAUGAAAGUUGUUCUGGUAGACGUAAAGUCCUCUGAGAAACGAAAGAUUACCAAUAUGUGGAGACAAUCUGCCCCCCAAUUGUUGGUCGGAGAUAUUUAGUUUUAUUACUCUCUCCCGUCUGCUGCUGCACGUAACGCCCCUCCACUGACAGAAGUGCAUCGAAGUGUUCCAUGAGUCCAGGGCACCCGACGGAUCAUCUACAGAAGCCUUAAAAGAAAGCAAGGCCUGCUGAUCAGUGUCGUUGCUUCGAAAAGCAAAUACAAAUAUUUUCGGUGUUGCUGAUACUAGUAAACAGGAAAUGAUAAACGGGAAGAUCAUGGUUGUAGAAUAAAACAGAGCAAUGAAGUAUUGCUACUGAAAGUACUAUGGACAUAAAUACAACAUUCAUGAUGUCUUUCCAACGACUUUGUAGGCCAAGUCGUGUUCAAAGAUCAUCAGCACAUAUUAAAUGGCGAUUAUGAUCUGCCAAAGAAGACUAAAUAUAAAACUAUAAUAGAAGUGCUUGUCAAGACUGUUUCUUGUAUACCAUAAGCACUCAUUCUUAUAUCUAUGCUAGCUCAUUAUACUUUCUAAUUUAGUUGUUCAACUUUUAAGGGGUAGAUUAGUGAGACGUUUUGCAAUGAGAUAUAAGUUUUAUGGGUAAGAUGUAUGAAGAAGGGUAUGAUCAUGAAUUUUAUUUCUCAUAUUUUUAUAUUUAGUUAAGUAAUUAAAUACAAUGUUUAACACAAAAUUUUAUAAUGAUGCAAAAUUAUAUUGUAAUAAUAAUUUUAUUAAUAUAUUUAAUUAAUUCUUGAAAAUUGAAUAUAUUGAUUUGAGAACUCAACCAAUUUUAUGAUAUCAACUACUCAUACCAUCUUAGCCGGAUACCGUACGACACCUAUGGUUAGGUAAUUAAAUUAAGGCUCUGCAUUUUAAUAUAUAAUUAGAAAUAAGAAAGAAAUAUUAUAUCACUAAAUACUAUAUAUACUCUAUUUUGAUAUCUCAUUUUAAAAUUAAUUGUAAAUUUUAAUAUGUGAUAUAAAGUUGGUUAAAAUGACCACUUUAAAGUGGACAACUAUUAUUAGAGUAUAUUAGUAUGAAGGGUUCUAUUAAAUAGAAAAUCAUAUAUUAUUAUAAUUAUCUCGUUAAAAAAUAUUUUAACUAGAAUGAUCAAAAUUUUCAAAUUUUAUAGGGAUUUUAAUUAUAUCAAAAAAGUUGUGCUAAUUUUUGACGAGUAUGUGUUUUAGAAAUAGUUACGUACAUGAAAGUUAAUCUUAGUCCGUUUUCAUAUUUUAAGUUUACUCCACCUAUAUUAUCAUAAACUUAAUCAUUUUUAUUUCGUGGAAUCAUCACAUACUUUAAAAAAGUUUCAAGUUAAAUUAUUAGUUGCUAUAUGAUUUAUUGCACUGAUUUAAACUCCAUAUAUUAUUAGAUGACAUUCUCAUAUAACAAUUAACAAGUAUCCUUAACAUAUAUAGGACAUGAAUGCAUUUUGCUAGGGGAGACUGAAAAUGUCAAAAGACCAAGUCCUUUCUCACAAAAACACAGAUCUGAUCCCUAGUUAGAAAGCAUUCAAAAGCUACUAUGGAGUCAUCUCGCUGUCAUCAAGACAAACAGAAAAAUACAAUUCAAACCAGCUACGGGUGAGUCAUCUCGCAUUGGAGAAAACUGUUAAAACAUCUAGCAGUCGUCAAGACUACUGCAUAAUUAACCCCAGCAGAUUUUAGUGUGCCAGGUCCCCAAGAUAACUGCAUGAUCCUUGACUUUACUGACAAUAGAGCAUCCACAGGGAAUGUUCGUUCCUUGCCGUCCAGCAUGGCUGCACAGAUAGAAGUCAAACUCAGUGGGAUAUGUAUGAUCAUACAACUGUCCCUCGCACUACAUUCCUUGGUGAGUUGCAGAGUACAUAUGCUUGUGACACUGAUUCCAGCACGCAACUGAUGCCUUUUCUUUAGUACAUUUUUGGAGUAUUUUCUUCAUUAUUUGCUGAAAUUAUGCCAUAUAUAUUUGAAUUCAGAGGAUGUCCACAAUAACAUCUGAAAUAAAACUUUAUAUUAAUCGAAAUAUAUAGUGCAGUCAAAGAUACUAUUGUUCCUAUGAUGCCAAACAUAAGAUAACUAGGCAUCCAAUUACACGAGGAACUGGGUGCAAUUAAAUGAGUGAUAUAGAUUUUCAUAUAUAGCGUUAUUUAAGUGAAAUUUCACUAUUUAAGAAUAACAAAAUUAGUGUCGUAUUUCAGUAUGUUAAAAAGUAUUAGUGAGAUUAAUAGGUAAUUAAUUUUACUAAAUGUAAAUAUUAAUAAAAAAUUUCAAAUAUUAAAUCCUUACCAAUUUUUUUUUAAAUAUUGUACAAAUUUUACAUUCUUAAUUAACUAGUUAGAUUUUCUCUUACAAAAUUGUCGCAUUUUUAAAAUCACAUAGGAAUCUAGAAUCAUAUACGAACAAACGCCCCUAAUUAUCGUGAUCUAGGUAUCUGCUUGUAUCUAAAAUUUUAUAAUCACACAAAAUCCUUAUAAUUAAAAAGGGUAAAAAGUACAAACCAGAUCUGCUUGUAUCUAAAAUUUUAUAAUCACACAAAAUCCUUAUAAUUAAAAAGGGUAAAAAGUACAAACUGCUUGUAUCUAAAAUUUUAUAUCACACAAGAUCUUUAUAAUUAAAAGUGGUAAAAAGUACAAACCAGAUAUGCUUGUAUCCGUUUGGGAUCUAAAAUUUUAUAAUCACACAAGAUCCUUAUAAUUAAAAGUAGUAAAAAGUACAAACCAGAUCUGUUUGUAUCUGUUUGGGAUCUGAUGGCGCAGGUGCUUGUUGGUAUGAAUUUACUUUGAGCAUCAUAAUAAACGCCCCUAAUUAUCGUGAUUUAGGUAUUUGCUUGUAUCUAAAAUUUUAUAAUCACAGAAAAUCCUUAUAAUUAAAAGUGUUAAAAGGUACAAACCAGAUCUGCUUGUAUCUAUUUUAUAAUCACAGANAACAAACGCCCCCUAAUUAUCGUGAUUUAGGUAUAUGCUUGUAUCUAAAAUUUUAUAAUCACAGAAAAUCCUUAUAAUUAAAAGUGGUAAAAAGUACAAACCAGAUCUGCUUGUAUCUGUUUGGGAUCUGAUGGCGCAUGUGCUUGUUUGUAUGAAUUUACUUUGAGCAUCACAACAAACCCCCUAAUUAUCGUGAUCUAGGUAUGGAAGACAAGUCUUUUUCUUCUUUGUUGCGAUUCAAACAUAAAUAUAUUUAUGUGUGUGUGUGUGUAUAUUCACAAAUGAUAUAACAAAAAUAUCUAGUACAUAUACUAAAGAAUGUUAAUUUAAAGAAAUAAACAACUCUUAUUAAGUUGGAAUUGCAAAGAAAAAUUUACUUCUUCGUAUUCAUUAUAUGGUGGCUGUAUGGAGAAAAUUGUGAAGGUUAUACCUCUCAGGUAAAACCUAUACUCUAUAUAUAGCACAUCAAUAUAUCUAGAAUGUUCCUCAAUUUGGGCUUUGGUCACAACUAGUGGGCCUGGAUUUGCCAUUUAAGGAUAUUCCAGAAAUUCAUAACAUUUUUAAUUUUGAACUAUUAUUUACUUUAAUUCAUUUUAUAAUAUUUUUUUAAGAUUUGAGGUUCUUCUCUCAUUUUGUGUAACAUUUUAGAUUGACUUGGGCUUGAGAUAUUAUGGGCCUUCUUUUUUGGAUCUUAACUAGUUAAACAAGUAACUUGGAAUUUUAACCUGUUAAAGAUAGUUUAAAUAAGUGAAAUGCUUUACUUUAUAAUCACAGAAAAUCCUUAUAAUUAAAAGUGGUAAAAAGUACAAACCAGAUCUGCUUGUAUCUGUUUGGGAUCUGAUGGCGCAGGUGCUUGUUUGUAUGAAAUUAUUUUGAGCAUCACAACAAACCCCCUAAUUAUCGUGAUCUAGGUAUGGAAGACAAGUCUUUUUCUUCUUUUUUGCGAUUCAAACAUAAAUAUAUUUAUGUGUGUGUGUGUGUAUAUAUAUUCACAAAUGAUAUAACAAAAAAAUCUAGUACAUAUACUAAAGAAUGUUGAUUUAAAUAAAUAAGCAACUCUUAUUAAGUUGGAAUUGCAAAGAAAAAUUUACUUCUUCGUAUUCAUUAUAUGGUGGCUGUAUGGAGAAAAUUGUGAAGGUUAUACCUCUCAUGUAAAACCUAUACUCUAUAUAUAGCACAUCAAUAUAUCUAGAAUGUUCCUCAAUUUGGGCUUUGGUCACAACUAGUGGGCCUGGAUUUGCCAUUUAAGGAUAUUCCAGAAAUUCAUAACAUUUUUAAUUUUGAACUAUUAUUUACUUUAAUUCAUUUUAUAAUAUUUUUUUAAGAUUUGAGGUUCUUCUCUCAUUUUGUGUAACAUUUUAGACUGACUUGGGCUUGAGAUAUUAUGGGCCUUCUUUUUUGGAUCUUAACUAGUUAAACAAGUAACUUGGAACUUUAACCUGUUAAAGAUAGUUUAAAUAAGUGAAAUGCUUUACUUUCAUUUUCCACUUCCAAUAAAUAUAUAAAAUUUAAAUAUAUACUUUUCUCCAUCUUUCAACUCACUAGCUACGACAUCCCCUCAUCCCCAUCCACUUAUCUACUCCAUCAUCAUCUUUCUUUUUCUCGAUUCAUCGAAACUGUUUCCUUCAUCCCGACGACCUCUCCAUGUAUANUUUACUUUGAGCAUCACAACAAACCCCCUAAUUAUCACGAUCUAGGUAUGGAAGACAAGUCUUUUUCUUCUUUGUUGCGAUUCAANUGUGCUUGUUUGUAUGAAUUUACUUUGAGCAUCACAACAAACCCCCUAAUUAUCGUGAUCUAGGUAUGGAAGACAAGUCUUUUUCUUCUUUGUUGCGAUUCAAACAUAAAUAUAUUUAUGUGUGUGUGUGUGUAUAUUCACAAAUGAUAUAACAAAAAUAUCUAGUACAUAUACUAAAGAAUGUUAAUUUAAAGAAAUAAACAACUCUUAUUAAGUUGGAAUUGCAAAGAAAAAUUUACUUCUUCGUAUUCAUUAUAUGGUGGCUGUAUGGAGAAAAUUGUGAAGGUUAUACCUCUCAGGUAAAACCUAUACUCUAUAUAUAGCACAUCAAUAUAUCUAGAAUGUUCCUCAAUUUGGGCUUUGGUCACAACUAGUGGGCCUGGAUUUGCCAUUUAAGGAUAUUCCAGAAAUUCAUAACAUUUUUAAUUUUGAACUAUUAUUUACUUUAAUUCAUUUUAUAAUAUUUUUUUAAGAUUUGAGGUUCUUCUCUCAUUUUGUGUAACAUUUUAGACUGACUUGGGCUUGAGAUAUUAUGGGCCUUCUUUUUUGGAUCUUAACUAGUUAAACAAGUAACUUGGAACUUUAACCUGUUAAAGAUAGUUUAAAUAAGUGAAAUGCUUUACUUUCAUUUUCCACUUCCAAUAAAUAUAUAAAAUUUAAAUAUAUACUUUUCUCCAUCUUUCAACUCACUAGCUACGACAUCCCCUCAUCCCCAUCCACUUAUCUACUCCAUCAUCAUCUUUCUUUUUCUCGAUUCAUCGAAACUGUUUCCUUCAUCCCGACGACCUCUCCAUGUAUAUUUUCUUCCCCCAUCUUCUUACAUCUCUCUCUUCGUCGAUAUGAUUCAAAUACAAAAUACUCAUACAUCUUAUAGUUUUGUCAUAUCUUCGGUAAAAUGGAAAUGGUAAUAUGAGAUGUGAGCCGCUCGGAUCCGUAAUAAAAGACGAUGGUAGUUAAAUCGUUUGUGGAAGAGAGAGAAACUACUGUGGUAGGUGAACUACGUGUGGAGGAGAUAAAAAUCGUUGUUGUAAUUAAGUCACUAGCGUAGGAGAGAGGUCAUGUCGUGGUAGUUGGAUAGGGGGAAGAAAUUAAGAGAAGGCACUUAAAGCGGAAGAAACUCCUGCAAAAUUUUAUGAUUUAUAUCAUAAAAGUUAGUGAUGUGCCUAAUACAUGUUACUGAUUUCUUUGGUGCAUAUUGGUGUUAUAGAUUAAAUUUGAUAAUUUAUCAAAAAUAAUAGAACAAAAUCAAGUGAAUUUUUGAUCUCCAUGUUACUUGCGGAAAGAUGAGAUAAUAAUAGAGAUAUGAAGUGGUUCUCACUAUAAUUAUACAGAUAACAUUGAUAAUAUUGUAUAUAGCUAAUAUAUAAAUAUGUUAUGAGAAUCAAAAGGAUUUCAUUAGAGUAAGACUAUUAAAUAUUUGAUAUAUUUUUUCGUUAUACUUAGUUAUAAUUUUUAACAUACAAUUAGAUCUAAAUAUAUUCAAACAUGCAAUGCGAUAAUUUAUUUAUAAAAAUCAAUUUUUCUUCAUCUUAUAUAAUAAGUACGGCAUUACAAGUUAUUUUGCAUGGUAACUAGAUGACAUUAAUAUUUAUAAAUCAUCAUGUGUUAUUUUUAUUAAAUAAUUUCAAUAAGUGUAAGGAAAUGUUUCCUUACUAAAAACAUCUUUAUUAAAAAUAUGAGAGCACAAAUUAUUUUAAAGAACAAUUUUUUCAUAUUUUUCAUCAUCUUUGAGAAUAUGAAAAAUUAGUUAAAUAAAAUAAUUAUAUAAAACUAGUAAUUAAAUGACGGUAGAGUUAAGUUCUAUGGAGUACACAAAAAUAUUAGAAUAUUAGAGUACAAGUCAUAAUUUUUUAGUUUAAUCAAAAAUAAUUUUUUUGAUUAUUCAAAUUUGUAUAUAAUUUAUCAUUUAUAAGCUGUCUUAAUCAUAAUUAUCAAUUAAUCAAUAAUAUCUUUCAACUUUAACAAGUAUUAAGAUUCUUGUUCUGCUUAUUAGUUAUAUUGCAGAACAUGGGGCCUCUGAUUUAUAAAAGUAAUUGUUCUACGUUUUGAUUACAAUGUUUAUGUUGUAGAACAUAAUCUGCAGGUUGUAGAAUGUUUACAAAUAUUGUAGAACAAAAAAAAAUUAAAUUUAGAUGACUAGAUUAUAUUUUAUCCAAUUUUGUACUACAAUACUCGAAUGUUUUUGUGUACUCCAUAGAACUUAACUAUAUAUACAUAUAUAUAUAUAUAUAUAUGUAUUUAUAUAUUAUUGAUCAAUUCCAUAAAAUAUACUCCCUCCAUCCCAUUUUAAGUGUCCACUUUGCCAAAAAAAAAAACUUCCCAAAAUAUGUGUCAUACUCUUUAACCCAUGUAAAAUUUAUACUAUUUCCGCUAUAGUAUUAAAUACAACCACCAAGCCCCUCAUAAAUAUAUUCAUGGGAUUAUGAAUUUAUAGUGUAAUUGAAGUGAAGAAAGGUCCAACAAAGAGCAAUUAAUGAGGUGCAUCACUAAUAUUUAUGAAAACUGAGCUCAUUAGUUGUGGGAAUAUAAUGAUCAAAAUAUUACAUUAAUUGUUUCUUAAUAUGUGUGAAAUUUGCAAAGUGGACACUGGAGUAUUCUUCUAGAUUUCUACUUACCAUCCUCCCCUUGGUUUCUCCGCCGGAAAAUGCUUGGUGCACAAUUGUGUACAAAAUUUUAUGUACAUAAUGACAUGUGUUGGGUUUUAAUUGGAAUGGGCCCGCGGUAUUUACAUCAACCACCCAAUUAAAACCCACCACAUUCAUUGCCACAUUAUUAUGUACAAAAAUUUUGUACACAAUUUUGUGCACCUAGCACUACUCUUUCUCCGCCUCCCUACCCUUGGUUUCUCCGCCUCCCUAUCUUUCCUCGUUUUGUACGUCUUCCCUCGUUUUGUCCGUCUCCUUAUAUUUCCUCGGUUUCAUCGCCUCCCCUUGAUUUCUCCCCUAUAUAUAAACUUUCACACAUACACACACACUUAUAAUCAAAAGAAGAAUGGGCAUGAGCACUAAAGCGUGCCUGUAAAUAGGUGAGCAUUGAAAUGAUUUGGCGGUUAAAUUUUAAAAAUGGAGAUCGAUCGAUGUAUGCAUAUGUGUUUCCCUUGAUAAAAGUUGGUGCCAUGUAAGUAGAAGAGUUUUAAUUUAAUAUUACGUGGAUUUAACUUCACCAUUUUGAUUUGAUGGGUAUUCUUUAUUUAAUCUUCUACUCAAAUUUUUUAGGGUAUUCGAGGUUGUUCUAGGUACAUUACUACAAUCCUUAGAAGGCAAAUGAAGCCCCUUACACCAGCAGGUGAAACUGGUACUCUUGUGGGGAGUACUAGGCCUAGAAGGCAAAGGGGUAGCCUCUGGCUGAAGAAGAGCCAGGCAUUGAUGUGGACAGAUCUCAAGGUGUCCUUAGACCUGGAGAGAGAGCCAUUCCAGACACACAACCUCGGACAGGACAUCACCUCUCUGCUUAUGCUAGAGCAGGAUAUUGAUAUUUGUUAAUAUUCUUCUUUUCCAUAUGAUCAGCUUCCAUUUUUAUAAUCAUUGGUAUUGUAUAGUAGGAACCUAUACAAAAAAUCUUAAUUGUCCAAUAGAAUAUUUGUCCAGCAUUGCUAGGUUAAUUGAUGGGGUCUUUAGAUUUCUUGUUGGUCGAAUUACAGUUUUCAUAUGCUUUAAACUGUGAACUAUCAGUUUAAAAUGAAUUUUAGUUCUUUUAUUAUUAUUAUUAAAUUUGUGGUUUUGGUUGAAAUCUGUUUAGUAUAUAUAUAUAAUUGAGUGGCUAAUAUUAUGUCUCAAUGGAUUAUUAUAGGUGAUGUGAAGAUAUAUGGGUUCGUGGAAGUAACUUUGGAUGAUGAUAUAUAGGAUGAGAGGAGGUGUCUGAAGUGGUGGUAGAGUAACAAACCAAAAAGGACAAUGCAAACGCAAAAAAUUCAUUACUUGUUCUAAAAUUAAAAACAAUUUAGUGACAUGUAAUUUUGUAUCCAUCAAAUAGAUGUUUUUAUUAUUAAAAUAGGUUUCUUAUCUAUGACUUUAUCAGUAAAUUGCAUCUAAUGAGUCUAUCAACGGUGAACAUGCAUCUCUAAUGAUGGAAUGAAUCGUCAAAACAUUACAAAUUUAAUAUGUAAACAUUUUAAAUAUCUUUACCCUUUAAAGACCCAGUCUUAGUUUUGUGUGCAUUCCAUUUUUACAUAGUAAAUGAAUAUGAAUACAUUCUGCUUAUAAGCUGUUUCUUUGUAAAUGAUUUUCUACAUGAAAAAAUAAUGUUUCUUGAAUGUGCAUAUAUUAUGUAAGCGCUUUACGAUUGUUAGAUUUCUUUGUUAGAUAUGCAAUAAUCAAUCCCGCCUUUUAUGGUAAAGACAUAAGUUAAUUAAAUCAACUUAUCUCUACGAGAAUGCUCACUAUUAACUAUAGAAAGAGCAAUGAUGAUGUUUUGGAUCCACUAAUCAUCUAGCUAACCAAAAGAAUUCUUUUAAACUUAGAAAAUCAGGUUAAAUAUAGUGAUAACUAUAAAGAUAUGAAGAGCUAUGGGCUUAACCUAUUGGUUAACAUCGUUUUGGUAUACACUUAAUUUUAUUGACUAGAAAUUCUAAAAACUUGAUUGAAUGGGCCAACUAAAUCAUGAUAUAUUCAUAUCACUAAUAAGUCUAUAAGAUAAAGUCAAUGAAAAAUUAUAAUGACAAUUCUUUAUAAACUCUAUAGCAUGUAUUAUGGUCCAUGACUAUAUACACAUAUUCAUGAAAAGUACUGAAUGAGCGAGUAUAGAUAUAAUGAUGAAGAUCAUUUACCAAAUAGUCAAAGAAUUCAAGUACAUCACGUCUAUAUCUAUGUGUAAAGUUGGUAUAUAUACUUACUCCAUCAAAGGUUCAAGAAGCAUUUCUUAUCAAUCAUAUACUAUUUCUGGCCACUGGGACUAAUACCAAGUCAAAGCUAUUGGAGCAUCAAUCUCGUUUGUGAGGGAUUUGUGAAAUUUUUUAGUGUAUAUAUAUAUAUAUAAUACUAAUGUUCCGAUGUUGACCGUUAGUAGUACUUAAUUAUCUUACAACUUCAGUCUCUUUUUUUAAAUAGAGUCUUGGGUCAUUAAUUUUAUUAAGUCGAAAACUUUAUAUAUAGUCAACUCUGUUAUUUGAUCUCCUUAGUUUAAAUCCUUCAUACAUCUCGUUGCUAAUUCAGUUAUAGUAAGAAGUUAUAGUAAAACCUGUUGGGUUUUUAUUUAAUCUAAACUUUUGUUAUUUAUUUGUUAAAUAAAUUGUACCUGUUAGGUGCGUGUAAAUAGCAACAAGAAUAGGCCUAUUAGCAGUUGAGAAGUUUUAGGAGCUGCAUGGAGUAGUUGAUAUUGAUAGAGUAGUGGAGUUAUAUCAGGAACUGCUUCCUUGAUAACAGCUACCACAUUAGUUGUUUGUUCUAUUUAUAUCUUGCAUGUACACACUUUCAGAAGAGACACAACACAAGCUAAUACAAUGUAGUUUUAGAGAGUAUUUCGGGAUUGUACAUACACAUCUCUUCUAUCUUUAUCAUUCUGCAGUUAUAAUUCUUGUAGUAGUUUAAUUUCAACAAAACCAUGUCAGGGAGAGCAACCACGGUUUCUAAAAUCAUUGCACACCCAUCCAUACCGUAUGUAUGAUAUUAUAAUAAAAAACCGGGCUUGUGGUGAGAAAAAUUACAAAAACUAGUAGCUCAAAUAGGGUAACAACCAAAAUACUAGAAUUCCCCUUAUAAUAAUCUUAAGAAUCACUUAAUUACUCAUAACACAUGAAGCAGUCGAAUACUAAUCCAGAGGUAUAUAACUAAAGUUCUCUUUCAAGAUCAAUAGUCUAUUAACUAAAAUUUUUAGCUUACUCUUCUAAGGUGGGGAUCAUGAUCAUUUUUAUGAAUUGAUAUAGAAAGGCUGAAAUAAAAUUUCAAUAAUCACGUAGACUAAAAAAGAAGAAUGAUAUUAAUGAAAUAAUAGACUAUCUAUCUUAUUAGGAAUAAAUGAAACAAGUAUUUGAAAAAAAUACAUAAUUUAGCAUUAAAUAGAUAAAAUAAUGAUUCAGAUUUUAAAUAGUUUAUGAAAUCCACCAAAUGAAAACGUACAAGUUAAUUGUUGCAUUAUAUAAAUACAAUCUACUUGCAGCUUAAUGUGAUAGUAUGAGUAAAACUUGUAACUUACACUAAUUAAAUUAUUAAUUGUUGUAUCAUGUUUUUUUUGAAAGUGAAUUGUUGUAUCAUGUUGAAACUUAAUAUGUUAAAAAUGAUUUAUUAAUGUCACUUCAAAUUAUAAUGUGUAUAAGAUGUUGGGUUUGUCUACACUCAUUAUUAGAAGUGAGAAGGAAAAAUCAAGAGAAAAAAAUUUAGAAGAAGGCUCGCAAUAUGUCUCGAGAAAUAAGUAGAAAUUGGAGUUUAUAAUGACAAAGAAAUAUGUGUGUCAUAUGUUAGUUCCCUUUUGAAUUCUUUUCGAUUUACGAGCACAAUUAAUCUAUUCCCCCUAAAUAUAAUUAUCAAUAUAAAUUUACUAAUUUUAAUAAAUAUUAAAUGAUGAGUUGCGUAAUUGUUAUACAAGUUGAAAGUUGAACCGGUAUAUUAAUAAUAAAAACUUUUUGAAGAUAAAUUGACACAAAAAAUAAACCGUUCAUUAUGGCAUUACGUGAAAAUCAUUGAUCAUAUAUGUGUGUAUGUUGUGUAUAUAUGUAUGUCUAUACUUAUAUGUGAGAGAUAUGUUAUAUAUUAAAUAGUAAUUUGUGAUGUAUAAACUAGUUAGUGAUUAAAAAUUGGUGAGGGACUGAUUUUUAAUUUGUAGGCUAGUUUGUAUAGGCCGCAGCCUCGGUGGCCACAGUGGUGGGCUAUGGCACCAAAAGGGUGGGGCUGACAGUAUAUGUGGGUUGGUUUGGUGGGAGUGGAUGUGGAUAAGUGACAGUAUAUGAGUGUAGGUGAGGAAGUGGCUGGUUAUGAAAGAAAUUUUUGGUUUUUAUUCAAUUUUAUUUUUAUUAUAUAUAUAUAUAUAUAUAUAUUAAAUAUUUGAUAUGUUGGGUUUUUAUUUAAUCUAAACUUUUGUUAUUUAUUUGUUAAAUAAAUUGUACCUGUUAGGUGCGUGUAAAUAGCAACAAGAAUAGGCCUAUUAGCAGUUGAGAAGUUUUAGGAGCUGCAUGGAGUAGUUGAUAUUGAUAGAGUAGUGGAGUUAUAUCAGGAACUGCUUCCUUGAUAACAGCUACCACAUUAGUUGUUUGUUCUAUUUAUAUCUUGCAUGUACACACUUUCAGAAGAGACACAACACAAGCUAAUACAAUGUAGUUUUAGAGAGUAUUUCGGGAUUGUACAUACACAUCUCUUCUAUCUUUAUCAUUCUGCAGUUAUAAUUCUUGUAGUAGUUUAAUUUCAACAAAACCAUGUCAGGGAGAGCAACCACGGUUUCUAAAAUCAUUGCACACCCAUCCAUACCGUAUGUAUGAUAUUAUAAUAAAAAACCGGGCUUGUGGUGAGAAAAAUUACAAAAACUAGUAGCUCAAAUAGGGUAACAACCAAAAUACUAGAAUUCCCCUUAUAAUAAUCUUAAGAAUCACUUAAUUACUCAUAACACAUGAAGCAGUCGAAUACUAAUCCAGAGGUAUAUAACUAAAGUUCUCUUUCAAGAUCAAUAGUCUAUUAACUAAAAUUUUUAGCUUACUCUUCUAAGGUGGGGAUCAUGAUCAUUUUUAUGAAUUGAUAUAGAAAGGCUGAAAUAAAAUUUCAAUAAUCACGUAGACUAAAAAAGAAGAAUGAUAUUAAUGAAAUAAUAGACUAUCUAUCUUAUUAGGAAUAAAUGAAACAAGUAUUUGAAAAAAAUACAUAAUUUAGCAUUAAAUAGAUAAAAUAAUGAUUCAGAUUUUAAAUAGUUUAUGAAAUCCACCAAAUGAAAACGUACAAGUUAAUUGUUGCAUUAUAUAAAUACAAUCUACUUGCAGCUUAAUGUGAUAGUAUGAGUAAAACUUGUAACUUACACUAAUUAAAUUAUUAAUUGUUGUAUCAUGUUUUUUUUGAAAGUGAAUUGUUGUAUCAUGUUGAAACUUAAUAUGUUAAAAAUGAUUUAUUAAUGUCACUUCAAAUUAUAAUGUGUAUAAGAUGUUGGGUUUGUCUACACUCAUUAUUAGAAGUGAGAAGGAAAAAUCAAGAGAAAAAAAUUUAGAAGAAGGCUCGCAAUAUGUCUCGAGAAAUAAGUAGAAAUUGGAGUUUAUAAUGACAAAGAAAUAUGUGUGUCAUAUGUUAGUUCCCUUUUGAAUUCUUUUCGAUUUACGAGCACAAUUAAUCUAUUCCCCCUAAAUAUAAUUAUCAAUAUAAAUUUACUAAUUUUAAUAAAUAUUAAAUGAUGAGUUGCGUAAUUGUUAUACAAGUUGAAAGUUGAACCGGUAUAUUAAUAAUAAAAUUUUUUUGAAGAUAAAUUGACACAAAAAAUAAACCGUUCAUUAUGGCAUUACGUGAAAAUCAUUGAUCAUAUAUGUGUGUAUGUUGUGUAUAUAUGUAUGUCUAUACUUAUAUGUGAGAGAUAUGUUAUAUAUUAAAUAGUAAUUUGUGAUGUAUAAACUAGUUAGUGAUUAAAAAUUGGUGAGGGACUGAUUUUUAAUUUGUAGGCUAGUUUGUAUAGGCCGCAGCCUCGGUGGCCACAGUGGUGGGCUAUGGCACCAAAAGGGUGGGGCUGACAGUAUAUGUGGGUUGGUUUGGUGGGAGUGGAUGUGGAUAAGUGACAGUAUAUGAGUGUAGGUGAGGAAGUGGCUGGUUAUGAAAGAAAUUUUUGGUUUUUAUUCAAUUUUAUUUUUAUUAUAUAUAUAUAUAUAUAUAUAUUAAAUAUUUGAUAUAUUUUUUCAAAAUAAAUAUUUAUAAAUUUAACAUAUAAUUAGAUUUAAAAUUUUCAAACAUGUGAUGCCAUAAUUUAUUUUAGAAAAAUCUAUUUUCCUUCAUCUUACAUUUUAAAGAAAGUUAUUUUGCUUGCUAACUAGAUAAAAUUUGUAUUUAUAUAUAAUAAUAUGUUAUUUUUUUAUUGGCAUGUGUAAAUAAUUUUAGUAAGUGUAAAUAAAUGUUUCCUUAUUAAAAAAACCCCUACACUAAGAAGUAUGAGAGCACAAAUUAUAAUAAAGAAAUUAUUUUAUAUUUUUUUUAUCUUUGAAAAUACAAUAAAUUAUUCAAAUAAAAUAAUUAUACAAGCAAACUGAUUAAAUGAGGGUAAUUGUCAAGAAAUUAUUGAUUAAGAUAAAUGAUAAUGUAUAGAGUUCAAGAAGUAUUUGUUGAAUGUGGAUAUAUUAUAUUGAUCAAUUUGAUAAAAUAUACUAUUCCCCACAUUUUGUUAAAUAUAAUAUAAUUUUGGCUAUAAAAUAAAAGAAGUGUGUGGGUGAUUCUAGAUUAUUCUUAGUACAUGCAUUUGUUUUUAAUUUUGAAUGCAUGUAUUAGUCCAGAUGCAUAAUCUCUAGAAUAUUCCCGUCUUUUGCUUUCUAGCAUUUAAUUAGUCUCUAGAUCUUUCUAUUGAGUCCUAUAUAAAGCCUCUUGUACCAAAUCAUUUGUCAUCAACUAAGGUAAAGCAAUUCAUUAUAUAUAAAUUUCUCUUUUCCUAAAUAUCUGAGUUGUGGGAGUUUUAGUGAAAACCUUUCUUCCUCCAUCCAACACAUUUUUAGCCCACAUCCCGGUUCUAAGUCUAUUCUAGUUUUGUCCUUCUCCUUAGAUUUCCUCGAUUUCUUCACCUCCCCUUGGUUUCUCCGCUAUAAAAUUUUACACACACAUAUAUAUAUAUAUAUAUAGUCUUAGAAGAAUGGCUAUGAUCACUAAAGCUAGCGUGGCUGUUAAUAAGUGAGAACUGAAAUGAUUUGCCGAUUAAAUUUAAUUAGCAAUGGUGAUCUAUGUAUGCCUAUGUGUUUAAUUCCCUUGAUAAAAGAUGGUGUCAUGUAAGUUCAAGAGUUCUAAUUUAAUUGUGAGGAUAAUAUUAUCUAUCCAUUUUGAUUUGAUGGGUAAUCUUUAUUUAAUCUUCUUUUAUUUAUAAAUUAUAGGGUUUUGGCAUUCGAGAUUGUUCUUGGUACAUUUGUAAAAGCCCCAGAAGGAAGCCUGUUACACCGGCAGGCGAAGCUGGUACACUCGGGGGAAAAAAUUGAUGGAUUAUUGUUGACUAAAUGAUGUUUGAUGGAUUAUUCUAUUAUUGAGCUAGGCUCCUUGCCGAGUACUUGGGGAAAAAGGUAAUGCUGGCACUUGUUUGCCAGACUUUUGACGGGGUUAAAGCUCUGGAGGCGUAUGAUGAAGGUGGUGUUAUAAAUAGAAAUUCUGGUCUUCAUGGAAUUGUAUCCUGGGUCACGACCUCUGGCCAUGGCCUUAGAGAGACUCUCUUCUAUCUUCUAUUCUCGCUCCUGCAAGUUUAUAGAACUAUGAAAUAUAUGUAUAAGGCCCUCCCAUUCAUAAAAGAUGGAGCUGUAUCUUUUGGAUGGUGGAAUAAUGAGAUCAAAAUUUCCUCUUAGCAGCAUAGCCAUUGUGACAACUUUAAUUGUACAUUCACAUUUCUUCUGUUGCAACCGUACAAUUUCUUGCAACAAGUUUAUAUGAUUAGCAAAGAAUUCUUUAAUAGAAGAGUAUGUUAUUAUUUGUUAGUAUGAUAUAUAUUACUCAUAUAAUAAAUAUGCAAAUAAGGCACUCGGAUAUGAAAGUAUUAAUUCAAUAACAAAAUUAAAACGUCAAACUAAAAUUAAAUGAAUAAAAGAGAAGGAAAAUUCUUGUGAAACAAACACCAACGAAUGAGUUUGAUUCUUUUCUUUCCUUUGUCGGUUAUGGGCGAUGUUUUAGUAAAUUGCAUGUGAUAUACAAAUAGCAUAAAACAAAAUUUUGUGCUAAUUUUUUUUUUAAUUUUUAGACCACUAUUAAAUCUAUCAACAAUAAACGGCCACCAUAUCUGUAUGUAUUUUGUUUCUAAUAUAUAGUAUUAAAAAAUGUAAAUUGGAAUCUUAUAGAAGCUAACAAUAAAAAUUUUUAUUUGGUUUCACGAUCAAAAUAAUAUAAGUAAAAUAAUUCAAGAUCAUUCAUUAACUUUCUCCUAAUUUUAAUUUGUGAAUUUUAUUUGAUUUUCAAGCAUAAACAAACCAUCCCUACAUAUAAUAAUCAUUAUAAAUUUACUAAUUCUAAUAAAUUUUUGAAUGAUAAGUUUGUAAAUUAUUUUGUUAUACUAAUCGAGACUUGAACUAUUAUAUUAAUACUAAAAAGCUUUAGAGAAGACAAAUUGACUCAAAAUAAUAUAUUAAUUUGUGAAAUUUUUUCUCACUAUAAAAUUUGUUCAUAUUAAUAAGUAAUAAUGUGCUUCUUACAUAUUUAUUAGCUAAUUAAUAAUUUAAUUAUAAUAAGAUGAAAUAUAUUUUACUCGAAUAACAGAUCAUUUUGUGUUCUCUUAAAAAAGAUUGUGUCCAAAAUUUUAUUUAUUCAAAUUAUUAUAAAUAUGAUAAAUUUGAUUAAUUGUUACACAUUUAUCAAUAAAAUUUAUUUUAAUGUUGUGUUUAUCAUAAAUAUUGAUCAUGUACAAAUUAAGUUCAAAAGUUAAGAUACAUAUUUUACGUUCUCAAACAAUGAGUAUUCAUUUUGCAUUAAAUGAGAAACUCAAGUUAAACAAUUUGCAUUAGGUAAAUCACAAUUUACAUAAGGAGGAUCUUCGGAUAGGUAUAUUGCAUUUCACUCAAAUAUAUUGGGCAUGUUAAAUUUGGCUUUGUAAUGAGUUCUACAUUUCCCUAUUUCUUUAAACUGCACCAACAACAAACCAACAACAGAACAAAGAAGAAAAGGAAACCAGAUCUGCAGCAGAUCAGGUGACAGAGUUUGGAGGGCAUGGUAUAGUCUUCCUAAUGAACUCCUCUUUUUUGGGGAAUCAUAAGCCUAAAAAAAGGCCUUAUGAGCACUAACCUUUUUCCCCUCAAAACAAAGAUUUAGUAAUGUAACAAGAACAACCCCAAUAAUACCUGUCAGACAAACGAUUAAUUGGAAGCCAUUAGGAUUUUAAAAACAUAAUUAAUUACUUGUAUUCAAUUUGGAGGCAAACACUAACCACAGUUACACAAACACAAGCAUCAAUUUCUUCCGGGUCUGAAUUUCCAGAUGGAUCAGCAUUGCUACAAUGAUCUGAUCCACAACUCUGGAUUAAAGUACUAUGAUUUUGAUGGGUCAGUAUCAUAUACAGAGCGAAAAUCAGAAAAUAGUACUCUACAUGUUAGGAACACAUGAAAGAGCACAUCUGAGCUUGCUCUGCCAAGUGAAGAGUAAAUCUGAUGAGCCCUAAAUAUAGGACUUGGCAACGGAGAUCCCAAGGGGGCACAAUCAUAAAAAAGUGAAAUUUAUUAUCGGUUUUAAUUUAUAACUGCCAACUUCUUUUUGAUAGAAAACUAUUAGCUGAGAUAUACAUUCUUUUUGUCUUUAUGUUAAGAGUGAGGCUCUUACAUUUAAUUCUCUUUAUUAUGGGGGUCGGGCCUACAGGCUGCACCUAGUCACGUUUAUUCUCUAUCACUCUCAUUUGUUUACGAAUAGCAUGUGCACCGAAAUAAAGAUAUCGUUUGGCUGGUGUGUGUCCAUGAGCACAUGCUAAACUCUAAUUUUGAUGUAUUAGCUUGUUUUGAUUGAUAGAGCUUUUGUAUAUGUAAGGGGUCCACCAUUAUUAAUAAGUAGUACUAGGCACUCAAAAUGAGUUAAAUACAUGAAUUAAUUUGGUGUUUAACAUGUGUCAUGGGCAUAUUUAAUGUAUAAAGUGAGUAUAGUAGAGUAAAUUAGUGGAUAUAGUAAUUUUCAUAUGGGUCUUUCUAGUAUGUGCCUACAUGGAGGAUUUUUAUUGGUGGGGAUUUUUGUGCAUGUAGUGGGGCGAUCAUUAUUUAUAAUGAGAUUAGAGCUAAUAGAAAUCAUUCACCAAAAUAAAAAGUAAAGUAGUUGUUAGUGUAUGCUCAUGGACAAAAUGAUGAUGACUAGCUAGUGACUAGUGUGUCCCCCAUGAGAUUAAACAUAAUUAUCAAUUAGUUAUUAAUAUAUUUCAAUUUUUAAGAUUAUUGUUCUGAUGAGUUAUAAUGGAGACCAUAUUGUCCUAUGAUUUAUAAAAGUAAUUGUUCUAUCUUUUGAUUACAAUGUUUAUGUUGUUGAAUAUAAUCUGCAGGUUGUUGAAUGUGUACAAAUAUUCUAGAAUAACAAAAACUAAAAUUUAAAUGACUAGAUUAUAUUUUAACCAAUUUUGUACUCCACUACUCUAAUAUGUUUGUGUACUCCAUAAAACUUGACUCAUAUAUAACUAAUGAUAAUAAUUUGAAUAUAAUAUGAAAGGGAAUAGACUAAAUUGAAUAAUAUAAUUAUAGAUAUGAGCCUUACAUAUAUUACCACUAGGGUCAUUCUACUGACCAAAACUUUCAAUUGGCCUCCCGAGUCAAAAAAAGUUUUCAUUUAAAUAAUAAACCAUCUAAAAACUUUUAAUCACGAAAUUAAGUUAUAAAAAAAAAUCAGCGCCGUUAAGUCUUUGACUUUUAACGGAAAACCUUAAAUAUAACGGAUUUGCAUGUUUUUAACAGAUUAUAUGUUUUUAAGGCAGAGUUUACUUCGGCCCUUCACCAGUUCCCCGUGUACUGCUAUUAUCAAUGCUGCUAGAUACAGUAAAGACAAGUCUGCAAGUUUUGGAAGGAGAGGGGCGACCUACAAUUGGACAAACUGUAAAGAAUUAGCUGGUGAAGGAAGGCGGAUUGGGUGCUUGUUAUAGAUGUUUGGGGCCGAGGUGGGCUUCGAUGCCUCUUUCCGCAACCACCAUGCAUGAUCACUACUUGUGAGUUUCUAAAGAAAAUGUCUACGAAGGAUCAAGAGGUGUUUGCUUAACUAAAUUUUGGCGGGGAAGAUACGAAAGGGAAAAAAUUUAGAAUGUUGCAAAUCAUCUACACACUUGUAUAACUUGGUUUCUUGUCAUGUGUUGAUGACCUUCCUCUAUGAAUACCGAUGUAAGUUGUACUUAAGGUUUACUUUUAAUGAAUAAGAAUAACAUGAAAAUCAAAUUACAAUAUUGUCCAACAUUGUACAAGUAGUUCAGCCUUGGUCAGGCUGUUUGUUGUAUAUGAAUGAUAUAUAUACAUUGUUGAAGUGUGUAAAUGUGUAGGUUCUAGGGGACAUCUACUACCUGGUAUAUACAAGAGUCGGAUUCAGGGUACAAAUGUUGAGUAAUAUGACUCUAUUUGGUUUUAAGAGGCAAAUGCUCCUGUUAAGUUUUUAAUGGAAUGACCUAUUUGAAAAUUUUUAAUAAUACAAUUAGUUGACUCAAAAAAAUUUUGACUCGGUAGGCCAGGCUCAGUAGAGUGAUGAAAUAGAGCAUUAACCCUAUUACCACUAGACUAUAAAGUAAUGUCCUAAUGUUCUGUAAUGUCAGAAAGGCUGACACAUAUCUAAAGUAAAAUGUGUCUCAAAAUGGUGCUUAACACAUAUCUAAAACAAAAUAGCAUGUGUGUCACUCCACCUACUCUUAAGGUCGGAAUAUAUGAACCUAAAAUUUACAAAACUUAAAUUUAACAAGCUAACUUCUUUUAAAAUUGGCAAGAAUCUUACUCAUGAGAUACCUACUGUCUUUUUGAAGCUUAACAAGUUAACUAAAAUUCUUAGCUUACUCAUAAAAGGUAAGAUCUGGUCAUAUUUCUAACUUGAUUUUCUUUUUCCGGAAAGACAAAAAAGAAGGGAAUGAUAUCUAUGAAAUACUAGAUUGUCUAAUUAGGACUAAACAGAACGAGUUCUUACAUAGUGUAAUACUGAAUAGAUAGAUAGUAAUUCAAAUUUCAAAUAGUUUAUGCAGUCCAUCAAAUAAAAACAUUGGAGUGAAUGAAUAUUGGGGAGAAAAAGAAAUUUAAGUUAGAAAGCGUAUUUGUUAAUUGUUGCAUUUUAUAAAUACUAUUUAUAACUUGUAGCUUAAUCUGACUGUAUGAAUAAACCUUGAUGCUUAACUUAAUCUAACCACCCCAUUAGUAUUUGCAUCAUGUUUUAGUUGCAGGAGCUCCCGCAUGCACCUCCUCUAUGUUAUUAGAAACAAAAACAUUUUCUUAAUGUCACUUUGAACGAUAAUGUUUAUAAGAUGAUGGGUUUGCCUACACAGAAGUAAGAUGAAGAAAGUGAAGGAAAAGAAAAAGUUCGAGAGGAAGGCUCGGAAGUAUCCUGAGGAAGAUGUAGACGUUGGAGUUCAUAGUAGAAAAAGAACGAGAAAGAAUAAUUUGCAACCUAACGUAUCUCGCCGAUAAGAGUACAUAAUCACGAACAAAAAAUUGUAGUUAGUAGAACAAAAGCAUUACAAAUUCAACAGAAACAUAGACAUUUAUUUCUUAUUAAUUCAAAUAGCUGUUAAUUUUUAUAAGUUAAUCUAAUUUUAAAUUAUUGAUACUGAUAUUAAACUGAGAAUAUAUGUACACUUGAGAGCCCUAAAAAGCAUUAAAGAUGAAGCUUCGCGGUGGACCAACAACUCGUUCACGAUCCAAUACUGUAAGUAACUGCCCGCGAGAAGGAAGAAACAAACUCAAUUCUCGUUUAGACCCCUGCACCAGUGAAGUUGCUACAGAGUGAAUGACUAUGAUCAAUGGCUGCUUAAUUAUUUGACCAUGCCGUCAAAAGAAAUUAGAUGCUCAGAAGAAAGCUAUAUAUAACUGCUGGUCCAAGUCAAACUGCAAAUGAGCCGGCUGAUGGAGAGAAUGACUUGCCUAAUUGGAGAUGCAGUUGAAAAGAUUAGGCCAUGUUGACUUGUAGAAAGGUUUUCCAAUUUAAGUGUUCAAAUUGCCUUGGUUUUCUAUUUCGUAAAUGUAGAGAUAGAAUGGUAUACAUAUUCAAAUUGGUUAGAUUUCCGUGUAUGGCUGAGCUUUAUAACCUGAUUUUAUGAUUUAAAGUGAUAGAUUAGCGAUGUAAAGUGUGGGUUUGGAUAAUUUUGACUUUGACUCGUGAGUUAUUAAAAAUAUGAUAAUAAAAAUAAAAAUGAUUUACGGAUAACAUAUAUCUUUUUUAUCAAAAUUUUUUUUAACAAUUAACUCGCCUUAAAAUGUACCUCAAACUAAUUAUACCAAGUCCUUAGCUAAUUUCAUUGUUAAAAUCAAGUAGGAUAAGUUAUGUAUUUGAAUUAUGAUAUUAAUUUUUAUUGUAUAAACUCAUAUAAAUAAAAUAAGUUGUUAGAAAUAUCUCUUAUCAACGCUAAGGAGGCCUUUCAGAAUUAAAACCCAUGCCUUUUCCCAAAUCCAAACUAACUCCUGCUCUACCUAUGUUCGCCACCACCAAGGUAGAUAAGGUCAGGGAAUAUGCACAUGUUAAUUACUGUUAAUUUAAUGAAUAGUUUCGCGUUCUUUUAGAAUUAAAUUGGUAUAUAUAGCAUAAUUAAGGGUAUCAAUGUCAGUUAGAUGAUCAGAAGCAUGUUUUGGUUGAAUUUUUUAAUCUUUUUAGUACUAAAUUUGAAUAAAUUAAAUAUAACUUCUAUCCAUAUAAGGCAUAUCGAUGUUACAUGUGCUUUUUUUUUUUUUCAGGGUUUCCAAGCACUCCGGAGCGCAUGGAUAUAAGAACAGCUUAUUUUUUAUGAUAUUCAAGAUUAUUAAUGUUACAAUAAUAUUUUAUUUUGUAAAUAAGUGAAUAAUUACAUUUUAAUUUUUUUUAGCAUUUUCUAAUAAUAAUUAUAUAGAUAUGCGAAUAUUUUUAUAUAUAAUAAAUACAGAUAUUUUUUAGUCAAUUAUGACGAUGAGAAAGGACAAAACAGUAAACUUAUACUAAGUAGGAUAAGCCAUCUCGAAAAAUAUACACCAGAUAAUUUAUAUUUAUAAAUCAUCAUGUGUUAUUUUUAUUAUUUGUAUUAAAUAAUUUCAAUAAGUGUAAGGAAAUGUUUCCUAACUAAAAACCUCUUUAUUAAAAAAUAUGAGAGCACAAAUUAUUUAAAAGAACAAUUUUUUCAUAUUUUUCAUCAUCUUUGAAAAUAUGAAAAAUUAGUUAAAUAAAAUAAUUAUAUAAAUGUAGUAAUUAAAUGACGGUAAUUGUUAGGGAUUUUUUUUCAAAAAUGAUAAUGUAUAAGGAGCUCAAGAAGUAAUUUUUGAAUAUAAAUUUGUUAUAUUAAUCAAUUCCAUAAAAUAUAAUUCUUCUAGAUUUCUACUUGCCAUUAUCCCCUUGGUUUCUACUUGCCAUUAUCCCCUUGGUUUCUCCGCCUCCCUGUCCUUGGUUUCUCUGCCUCCCUAUCUUUCCUUGUUUUUUAGGUCUUCCCUCGUUUUGUCCGCCUCCUUAUAUUUCCUCAGUUUCUUCGCCUCCCCUUGGUUUCUCUCCUGUAUAUAAAUUUUCACACUCAGACACACACUUAUAAUCAUAAGAAGAAUGUGCAUGAGCACUAAAGCGUGCCUGUAAAUAGGUUAGCAUUGAAAUGAUUUGGCGAUUAAAUUUUAACAAUGGAGAUCGAUGUAUGCAUAUGUGUUCCCCUUGAUAAAAGUUGGUGCCAUGUAAGUAGAAUAUAUAGUUCUGAUUUAAUUAUUACGUGGAUGUUAUUUCACCAUUUUGAUUUGAUGGGUAUUCUUUAUUUAAUCUUCUACUCAAAAUUUUUAGGGUAUUCGAGGUUGUUCUUGGUACAUUACUACAAUCGUUAGAAGGCAAAUGAAGCCCCUUACCCCAGCAGGCCAACCUGGUACACUUGUGGGGAGUACUAGGCCCAGAAGGCAAAGGGGUAGCCUCUGGCUGAAGAAGAGCCAGGCAUUGAUGUGGACACAUCUCAAGGUGUCCUCAGACCUGGAGAGAGAGCCAUUCCAGACACACAACCUCGGCCAGGACAUCACCUCUCUGCUUAUGCUAGAGCCAGAAGGUAGUUGUGACGCCCCCGGCCCGUGAUGACUUCAGCAACCCGGCCCGGGGGGGCCAUUCUACUGAACACACUGAAAUGUAACUUUGUAAUCUCAAACUUAAUAUAAUUUAGAGUGAUUGACACUUUGCACCUCUUAUGUUUAAGCGCUUUUUCGAUUUCGUCUCAAACAAUUUUUUUUUGGCAGAAUGCAUCCUAAAAUUUAAAAAGCGCUUCGCUUUGCACCCCUUUGACCACCCUCCGUUUAAUUGACCGUUAAAGUUAACAGAUAUCAGAUUUUCACUUUGCACCCCACAGUUUUAAUUUUUUUUCAGAAAAAAAUUGUUUGAGAACUUUAGGCUAUGACAAUUACAGUGAAAUGUUAAAGUUGAGUCUUGGCAACAUCAAGUGCGUUAAGCACUUCCUGCUGCCGAACCAUGGCUAGCUUGACUGAUUACUUGGAUACCUGGCUUUGCUGCAAUAUUAAGACACAAUUCAAACCCAAGUUAAUUUAACUAAUUUAUAUAUAUGCAGUCACUUUGCAUGCAUGCAUUAUGAUAUGCAUGACUACAUGAGAUGAGACUAAUGAUAACAUAUUACAUCGAGAAGUAAAUAUACAGGGCAAAUAAGAGAGAUUAACUAAAUAAUGCAAUUAGUCUGGGGAAUAAGUGGUUAACCGGUUUAAUUAGUAAUGCUCCUCUAUCCAACUCUUAGCUUGCACAACUCCAGAAUUUUAAAAAAAUACGAUAGGUUUAUAGAAGAAUUAUAUCUGGCUCAUCAAAACCGAGGCCUGUAAUUCGAGUUAGGCCGCUCGCGAGCAGCUCAAACUCGAUCUCGUUUAAUAAGACUCAAACCGACUCGAUCUUGUAUACUUAGUUAAAACUAGUAUCAUAUGGGAGUAGAAAAGUCUACCCAAUUAACUCAGAAAGAAAUGAUUUGAGAACAACAGCAUCCAUGUCAGCUCUGAUCUUUUACGUAAAUCCCAGCAGACAAGAACUCAACUAAUACAAUUACUAAGGUCAGCUUCAGCACUUCUACCACUUCUACCAGGUUGUUCGCCCAAAUCUCAAUUGCCACUUGAAACCUAAUUUGUUUCUUUUUUACAGAAGAACAGAAACAAAGUGAGUCUAAAAUGUAUUAACAUUUGAGUUUGAUCUUUAAAAUUCUAUUAAAAUUAGAAAUAAACUCGAGUUUCACACAAAUAUAUUUCUUACCAUAUGUUGUAAUGUAGGAACAGCUUCAUCAGUUGGCAUAUCUACCAGUCUGCAGUCCUAAUUAUAUGACAAAAUACUCAUGAAAAAAAAAUUAAAAUUGUGGGGUGCAUAUUUUCCACAUUAAGUUUCGGAUGAUUUGGACUAAUAAUAUCCUAGCAGACGAAAAUGAUAAAUAAUUUUCUGAUUCAUGAAAAUUUUUUCAAAAUACUCAUGAAAAAAAAUUAAAAUUGUGGGGUGCAAAGUGAAAACCUGAAAUCUGUUAACUUUAACGGUCAAUUAAACGGAGAGUGGUCAAAGGGGUGCAAAGUGAGCGCUUUUCAAACUUUAGGGUGCAUACUGCCAAAAAAAAUUGUUUGAGACCAAAUCGAAAAAGCGCCUAAACAUAAGGGAUGCAAAGUGUCAAUCACUCUAUAAUUUAAAGGCAUAUUUUACCUUACAUCAGAGCCUUACAUCACUCUCCUAAAAGUUCACAAAUAUUUCUUUCGAUUACAUAAUACUUCUACUAAACUUCUAAUUUCAAAUCCAACCAAGUCUAGCACUUCGGUUCAUCACACUUUUACCCUUGCCUGAAUAUCCUUCUCCAGAAUUCUUCCCUGUAAGAUUAGUACAUAAAAAGGGAUGAGCUCAUAAAGCUCAAUAAGCAUAUACGUACAUUUCAACUGAGUUUUAUUCACAAAACUUGGUGAACCAAAUCAAUAUUUCAUCAGAGUCAUCAAACAGUUUCACACAUCAAGAUGAGUAUGAGUAUGAGUAUUCAAGCACGAUAAGUUCAUCAGUUCAUCAAGUUGGGAUCCCGGCCAGCUAAACAAUCGGUUUAGCUUUUACUUCCAAUAAGGAAGCAUCAUCAUCAGUUCAUCAAGUAUCAAUGCAAGAAUACUCAUGGCUCAUCAGAAAAUCAUCAACAAAAUGUUCACCCAAAACAUCAUAAAAUAUCACAGUGAAGGGUACGGUAUAUACUUACAGUGCACCACGUUCCAAUUUUAUGUUGAAUAAUCAAGCUCGCCUUACAGAUAAUCAAUCUUCUAUGUCACAAAAUAAUAAAUUUAGAAUCUUAUCUUAAAACAACGAUCUCGUAAAAUCUAUUUAUAAUUUUUUCUCAUUUAGAUCGUUUCUCAUUUAUUCUUCUCUUAUUAUUGAUUUAAAUAAAAUAUUCCUUACUAACUCAUGUUACUAUCCCAAAAGUCUCAUUUCUUCUAAAUUAUCUCUUUUAUUCAAAUAUUAACUAAAUCCACCAAUUUAACUUGCUAUUUAUUAAUCAACCAAAAUAUAAAUAAAUUUAUUUAAUAACUCUCAAACCCAAAAUUAGGCUUCACCAUUAAAUCCGAAAUAUUAUUUACUUAAAUUUUCAUGUUUUACACUUUUACUAAUUCCAUCAUUUAGUCCCUCAAAUUAAUUAAAUACUAAUAUUCAAUAUUCUAGCCAAUCAGAAGACGCCACAUCAUCAUCUUCUCCAAUACACCCAUCCAGUUUCUCUCUCCCCGAAGUCAACCCCCAUGGCCAAACUUUGACCACUCAUAACUCCCUCAUGUUUCAUCCAAAUCAUUUGAUUCAAGAGUCAAUUCCAUAUAUUUUUUCACAAAGAAUCCAAAUAUGUAAUUUAUUUUAUAAUCCGACAUCAAAUUAUUGCCCAGCGAAAUAUUUAUCAGAAUCGAUUUAUAAUUAAAGAGUGAUUGACACUUUGCACCCCUUAUGUUUAGGCGCUUUUUCGAUUUGGUCCCAAACAAUUUUUUUUGGCAAUAUGCACCCUAAAGUUUGAAAAGUGCUUCGCUUUGCACCCUUUUGACCACUCUCCGUUAAUUGACCGUUAAAGUUAACAGUUUUUAUAUUUUCACUUUGCACCCCACAAUUUUAAUUUUUUUUCAUGAGUAUUUUGAAAUAUUUUUUUUCAAAAAAAAAUAUAUUUUCCUCAAGACUCUUAUAUUCUGUAAGAGUCUUAAAAUACGUGUCAAUAAACCUUCUCUGUCCGGUACGUAUAGAGAGGCAAGUGCACAGAAUGCAAGAACUUAUUACAGGAAUUUGAUCAAUCACGUUAGACAAAAUGGAACGCCAAACAGACAGGGAAGACCUGUAGAAACUUACUUGUUUGCCAUGUAUGAUGAAAUUAAACCUCAAGGGAGGGGAAGAGACUGGGAGGCAUUUUGGGCUUUUCAAUCCCACAAAUAAACAGCCAAAAUACCAACUCAGGUUCUGAGUUAUAAUUUUAAAAACGUCAUGUACUAAAAAAUAAGGCCCAAAUGGCCAUUUUGGAGAAAGUAGAAAACAAGAAAUGUAUCAUGUUUGGGAUUAGUUUGUUCGGUAAGAGCAUCUUUAAAAAUGGAUGUCAAGAGAGUGUUAACGCCACUAUUGAUAAUAUGUAUGUUUUUAUCAUCAUAUAGGAGAAAAAAAUUCUUAUAAUGUUAUUCAAUUAUUUUAGUUAUGAAAUUUGUAUUGAGUACGGGUGUCAAGAGUCAAGACACUUAUUAUUGAUAUAUUUAUUCAUCUUUUACACUUGAUACAUGAUCCGAAAUAUGUUAAUUAUAUUUUUCAUUUGUUUUAAAAAUUAUUUUACCUAUUAUCUUAGAAGUUAGUUGCUAGCAAAUAUGUAUCCAUAUUAGCCAUCUAGGAACUCCUCAGAAAAUCUUACUUAUGAGCUGUUUACAUUACCCGUUGUGGUUGUAGCAGAUCUGGAUGAUAAUCAUCCAUCCUGGAACCUUAUUGAUGCAUUGUUACAUACUAUGUAUUCGGUUGUUGAGAGAUCAGGAGGUACAAAUGUCAGAGAUUAUUGUGUCGAGAGUGGAUGGCCUUCUGCAGGUGAUGCAGAUGCAAGUGCACAAAAUGCAGGAACUUAUACUCGGAAUUUGAUCAAUCAUGUCAAAAGAAAUGGGACACCAAAGAGACCAGGCAAACUUAUCGAAGCUUACAUGUUUCAAAACACUCAUGAAAAAAAAUUAAAAUUGUGGGGUGCAAAGUGAAAACCUGAAAUCUGUUAACUUUAACGGUCAAUUAAUGGAGAUUGGUCAAAGGGGUGCAAAGCGAAGCGCUUUUCAAACUUGGGGGUGCAUACUGCCAAAAAAAAUUGUUUGAGACCAAAUCGAAAAAGCGCUUAAACAUAAAGGGUGCAAAGUGUCAAUCACUCAUAAUUAAAUUACUAAAUUAACCUUGUCUUUCCCAUCUCUCCUCUCUCCCUCCUUUACCACCACCUCCACUGCCACCGCGAACGGCGGCUCGCCACCGUCGGCUUCUUCCCCGACGAAACACACACCCGAAACACAUACACACACCUCUUCUCUCCCUCUCUCUCUCCGCACCGCCUCCUCUCUCCUUUCUCUGCUGCUUCUCUUUUCUUCUUUACUGCCGCCGCAGGCUCCGUCGGUGACGCCGACGUGAGCUCCGGUCGGACUCCACCACCAGCCUAUCUCCCUUUCCAACAAUACUCCAAUCCAGACUCAUCUCCAAUUCAACACAAAUUAAAUUUAUACACCCCAAAAACAAGCAAAAAAACCCAAUUAAGCUUAAGCCCCUUUUUACAGUAGCCAAAACCCCCUCCUUUAUUUCAUUUAUGUCUAUAUACAUCUAUACUCCUUAAUAAAUUAAGAGUUUCUUUUGAGUCCCUUAAUUUGUAUUGCAUACAAAUGGGUCCCCUAGCACAAAAUGAAUUCUUUCGUUAAUAACAAAAUAAUAAAAGGUAAGUGAGGGAUUUUUACCUUAUUAAUGGAACCUCUUGUUCGAUUUUUUCCCUUUUCUUUAUUCUAACUCGCCUCCUGCUCUUCUCCACCUUUCUCUCUUGUGUGAAUAAAACUCAAACCAUGUGUCUUUCUUGGUUUUUAUACUAGUAGUACUAAUUAUCAUUAACGGCUAAUGACUCUUUAAUAUAUUAUUAUUUACUAGCUUUUAACCCGUGCGAAGCACGGGCGGGUAUAUAAUUCGUAUUUAUUAUUUAUAAUUUAAAUUUUAAUAUCAUUUUAUUAAUAUUUUAGUAUUAAUGGAUUGAAUUUUAGGUUAAAUUAUAUUAUCAGCUGACUAUAUAUAUAUAUAUAUAUAUAUAUAUAUAUAUAUAUAUAUAUAUAUAUAUUAGUACAUUUAAUUCGAAUUUAGUAAACGUAGAUUUAAAAAUAAAAAAAAUCAGGAAAUUCAAAUCUUUUCCAAACAUAGCCGAUCGUGUAAUACCUUUCAAAGAUUCAGUAAUCUAAUCAAUCGAAUUUCAAACUUAAUUUUGUAAUUUUGGUUUUUUUGACAACAAUAACUUUUAAGAUUAGAGUUAGAAAGAGUUCUGUAAUGAUUCGUGUUUAUAUUGAAAUAAAACACGUUAAAGUUAAAAAGAAUUAUAUGAAGGUUCUUGUUAAAAAAAGAUAUUCAAAAUUGUAUAUUUAUAAUUUUAUUUAUAACAUCAUUAUGAUUUUUUUAAUGAAAUAUUAUAUGAAGAUGUAUUGUUAUGAGUGUUUUUAGUAUUUGAAACUGUUUAACAAUACAAUACUAUUUGUAGACUUGUAGUACCAAAAGGAGAGUACCAAACCAAAAAAUAUAACUAAAACCUUGGAUUACAAAUUAUACCCAUGUUGGCUUAUUAUAGUAUAGUACAGAUUCCUUUUACUUGGGCUCCAAACUUUAUUCUUAGGCUCCAAGUAUAAUAGCUUGAGCUCCACGUUCCGUCACGCUAAUUAAAAUUUUUGUUUCUCUCGAUUCCUAUUUUCUCGUAUCGGUCUUAAUAAACGCGAAAAAUAAAAUUAAAUAUCGUACAAAAUAUUAAAUGAAUAAAUCAUUAAUUAUUUUAUAUUUCAUAAUCAAAUCCCGAAUAUAAUAAUAAUAAUCAUCUCGGCUAAAACGUAAUAUUUAUUCACGAGUUGGUAAAUAAAUAAUUAUGUCUACUAUAAUUCUCAUAUAAACGCAGUUCCCGCGUUAAUAUACAUAUUUAAAUUAACAAUUGGCCCACACAAUAUAACUCACGUGUUUUCUAGUAUUCUCGAAACUAUAAAAUUUAAUUAAUACCUCUCACAUUAUAAUCUAAAUCCGUGACUAAUAAAAUAGUCUUUCUACACAAUAAAUACUUAUAUUAAAUAAAUGCAUUUUUAGGAAAUUGAAAAUUUCACGGAUGUUCCAGUAGCAUAUUGAUAUUUGUUAAUAUUCUUCUUUUCCAUAUGAUCAGCUUCCAUUUUUAAGUAGUAAUAUAAUCAUUGGUGUUGUAUAGCAGGAACCUAUACACAAGAUCUUAAUUGUCCAAUAGAAUAUUUGUCUAGCAUUGCUAGGUUAAUUGAUGGGGUCUUUAGAUUUCUUGUUGGUCGAAUUACAGUUUUCAUAUGCUUUAAACUGUGAACUAUCAGUUUAAAAUGAAUUUUAGUUCUUUUAUUAUUAUUAUUAUUAUUAAAUUUGUGGUUUUGGUUGGAAUCUGUUUAGUAUAUAUAUAUAUAUAUAUAUGUUGAUUUUUUUUAUGUAUUACAUACCUCCACAUAAUAAAAGUUCAAAUAUGAAUUAAUUUUUUGAUUUGUUAUCCAUAAUUGAGUGGCUAAUAUUAUGUCUCAAUGGAUUAUUACAGGUGAUGUGAAGAUAUAUGGGUUCGUGGAAGAAACUUUGGACGAUGAUAUAUAGGACGAGAGGAGGUGUCUGAUGCGGUGGUAGAGUAACAAACCAAAAAGGACAAUGCAAACGCAAAAAAUUCAUUACUUGUUCUAAAAUUAAAAACAAUUUAGUGACAUGUAAUUUUGUAUCCAUCAAAUAGAUGUUUUUAUUAUUAAAAUAGGUUUCUUAUCUAUGACUUUAUCAGUAAAUUGCAUCUAAUGAGUCUAUCAACGGUGAACAUGCAUCUCUAAUGAUAGAAUGAAUCGUCAAAACAUUACAAAUUUAAUAUCUAAACAUUUUAAAUAUCUUUACCCUUUAAAGACCCAGUCUUAGUUUUGUGUGCAUUAUUUUUUACAUAGUAAAUGAAUAUGAAUACAUUCUGCUUAUAAGCUGUUUCUUUGUAAAUGAUUUUCUACAUGAAAAAAUAAUGUUUCUUGAAUGUGCAUAUAUUAUGUAAGCGCUUUACGAUUGUUAGAUUUCUUUGUUAGAUCUGCAAUAAUCAAUCCCGCGCCUUUUAUGGUAAAGACAUAAGUUAAUUAAAUCAACUUCUACGAGAAUGCUCACUAUUAACUAUAGAAAGAGCAAUGAUGAUGUUUUGGAUCCACUAAUCAUAUAGCUAACCAAAAGAAUUUUUUUAAACUGAGAAAAUCAGGUUAAAUAUAGUGAUAACUAUAAAGAUAUGAAGAGCUAUAGGCUUAACCUAUUGGUUAACAUCGUUUUGGUAUACACUUAAUUUUAUUGACUAGAAAUUCUAAAAACUUGAUUGAAUGGGCCAACUAAAUCAUGAUAUAUUCAUAUCACUAAUAAGUCUAUAAGAUAAAGACCAUCUAGGUAGAAGAGGAGCGGGACUUCUUCAAUGAAAAAUUAUAAUGACAAUUCUUUAUAAACUGUAUAGCAUGUAUUAUGUUCCAUGACUAUAUACACAUAUUCAUGAAAAGUACUGAAUGAGCCAGUAUAGAUAUAAUGAUGAAGUUCAUUUACCAAAUAGUCAAAGAAUUCAAGUACAUCACGUCUAUAUCUAUGUGUAAAGUUGGUAUAUAUACUUACUCCAUCAAAGGUUCAAGAAGCAUUUCUUAUCAAUCAUAUACUAUUUCUGGCCACCGGGACUAAUACCAAGUCAAAGCUAUUGGAGCAUCAAUCUCGUUUGUGAGGGAUUUGUGAAAUUUUUUAGUGUAUAUAUAUAUAUAUAUAAUACUAAUGUUCCGAUGUUGACAGUUAGUAGUACUUAAUUAUCUUACAACUUCAGUCUCUUUUUUUAAAUAGAGUCUUGGGCCAUUAAUUUUAUUAAGUCGAAAAUUUUAUAUAUAGUCAAUUCUGUUAUUUGAUCUCCUUAGUUUAAAUCCUUCAUACAUCUCGUUGCUAAUUCAGUUAUAGUAAUAAAGUUAUAAUAAAACCAUGCCAGGGAGAGCAACCACGGUUUCUAAAAUCGUUGCACACCCAUCCAUACAGUAUGUAGGAUAUUAUAAUAAAAAACCGGGCUUGUAGUGAGAAAAAUUACAAAAACUAGUAACUCAAAUAGGGUAACAACCAAAAUACUAGAAUUCCCCUUAUAAUAAUCUUAAGAAUCACUUAAUUACUCAUAACACAUGAAGCAGUCGAAUACUAAUCCAGAGGUAUAAAACUAAAGUUCUCUUUCAAGCUCAAUAGUCUAUUAACUAAAAUUUUUAGCUUACUCUUCUAAGGUGGGGAUCAUGAUCAUUUCUAUGAAUUGAUAUAGAAAGGCUGAAAUAAAAUUUCAAUAAUUAGGUAGACUAAAAAGACUAAAAAAGAAGAAUGAUAUUAAUGAAAUACUAGACUAUCUAUCUUAUUAGGAAUAAAUGAAACAAGUAUUUGAAAAAAUACAUAAUGUAACAUUAAAUAGAUAAAAUAAUGAUUCAGAUUUUAAAUAGUUUAUGAAAAUCCACCAAAUGAAAACGUACAAGUUAAUGUAAAGUUUGGAAGAAACUAAAAACCAAGUAAGAAGAUUUAAUUGUUGCAUUAUAUAAAUGCAAUCUACUUGCAGCUUAAUGUGAUAGUAUGAGUAAAACUUGAAACUUACACUAAAUUAUUAUUUGUUGUAUCAUGUUUUUUUUGAAAGUGAAUUGUUGUAUCAUGUUGAAACUUAAUAUGUUAAAAAUGAUUUACUAAUGUCACUUCAAAUGAUAAUGUGUAUAAGAUGUUGGGUUUGUCUACACUCAUUAUUAGAAGUGAGAAGGAAAAAUCAAGAGGAAAAAAUUUAGAAGAAGGCUCGCAAUAUGUCUCGAGAAAUAAGUAGAAAUUGGAGUUGAUAAUAGACGGAGAAAUAUGUGUGUCAUAUGUUAGUUCCCUUUUGGAUUCUUUUCGAUUUACGAGCACAAUUAAUCCAUUCCCCCUAAAUAUAAUUAUCAAUAUAAAUUUACUAAUUUUAAUAAAUAUUAAAUGAUGAGUUGCGUAAUUGUUAUACAAGUUGAAAGUUGAACCGGUAUAUUAAUAAUAAAAACUUUUUGAAGAUAAAUUGACACAAAAAAUAAACGGUUCAUUAUGGCAUUACGUGAAGAUCAUUGAUCAUAUAUGUGUGUGUUGUGUAUAUAUGUAUGUAUAUACUUAUAUGUGAGAGAUAUGUUAUAUAUUAGAUAGUGAUAUGUGAGGUGUAAACUAGUUAGUGACUAAAAAUUGGUGAGGAACUGAUUUUUAAUUUGUAGGCUAAUUUAGUUUGUAUAGGCCGCAGUCUCGGUGGCCACAGUGGUGGGCCACCGGUCGGGGCUAACAGUAUAUAUGGGUCUGGUCUGGUGGGAGUGGAUGUGGGUGAGUAAGUGACAUUAUAUGAGUGUAGGUGAGGAAGUGGCUAUGGUUAUGAAAGAAAUUUUUGGUUUUUAUUCAAUUUUAUUUUUAUUAUAUAUAUAUAUAUAUAUAUAUAUUAAAUAUUUGAUAUAUUUUUUCAAAAUACAUAUUUAUAAUUUUAACAUAUAAUUAGAUUUAAAAUUUUCAAACAUGUGAUGCCAUAAUUUAUUUUAGAAAAAUCUAUUUUCCUUCAUCUUACAUUUUAAAGAAAAGUUAUUUUGCUUGCUAACUAGAUAAAAUUUGUAUUUAUAUAUAAUAAUACGUUAUUUUCUUAUUGGCAUGUGUAAAUAAUUUUAGUAAGUGUAAAUAAAUGUUUCCUUAUUAAAAAAAAACCUCUAUAAUAUGAAGUAUGAGAGCACAACUUAUAAUAAAGGAAUUAUUUUAUAUAUUUUUUCCAUCUUUGAAAAUACAAUAAAUUAUUCAAAUAAAAUAAUUAUACAAGCAAACUGAUUAAAUGAGGGUAACUGUCAAGAAAUUUUUGAUUAAGAUAAAUGAUAAUGUAUAGAGUUCAAGAAGUAUUUGUUGAAUGUGGAUAUAUUAUAUUGAUCAAUUUGAUAAAAUAUACUAUUCCCCACAUUUUGUUAAAUAUAAUAUAAUUUUGGCUAUAAAAUAAAAGAAGUGUGUGGGUGAUUCUAGAUUAUUCUUAUUAGUACAUGCAUUUGUUUUUAAUUUUGAAUGCAUGUAUUAGUCCAGAUGCAUAAUCUCUAGAAUAUUCUCGUCUUUUGCUUUCUAGCAUUUAAUUAGUCUCUAGAUCUUUCUAUUGAGUCCUAUAUAAAGCCUCUUGUACCAAAUCAUUUGUCAUCAACUAAGGUAAAGCAAUUCAUUAUAUAUAAAUUUCUCUUUUCCUAAAUAUCUGAGUUGUGGGAGUUUUAGUGAAAACCUUUCUUCCUCCAUCCAACACAUUUUUAGCCCACAUCCCGGUUCUAAGUCUAUUCUAGUUUUGUCCUUCUCCUUAGAUUUCCUCGAUUUCUUCACCUCCCCUUGGUUUCUCCGCUAUAAAAUUUUACACACAGAUAUAUAUAUAUAGUCUUAGAAGAAUGGCCAUGAUCACUAAAGCUAGCGUGGCUGUUAAUAAGUGAGAAUUGAAAUGAUUUGCCGAUUAAAUUUAAUUAGCAAUGGUGAUCUAUGUAUGCCUAUGUGUUUAGUUCCCUUGAUAAAAGAUGGUGCCAUGUAAGUUCAAGAGUUCUAAUUUAAUUGUGAGGAUAAUAUUAUGUAACCAUUUUGAUUUGAUGGGUAAUCGUUAUUUAAUCUUCUUUUACUCAUAAAUUAUAGGGUUUUGGCGUUCGAGAUUAUUCUUGGUACAUCUGUAAAAGCCCUAGAAGGAAGCCCGUUACACCGGCAGGCGAAGCUGGUACACUUUUGACGGGGUUAAAGCUCUGGAGGCAUAUGAUGAAGGUGGUGUUAUAAAUAGAAAUUCUGGUCUUCAUGGAAUUGCAUCUUCUAUUGGACGCACUUUAGAAGGGCGAUUUCACGUCAUAUGUCUCGAUGAAUUGAUGUACGUUGGUAUUUGUCCUCUAUUGUUACCCUUCACUACAAUUUUUUACCUGAUGACCCACAAAACAUCGGAUAUGCUGUAAAUCUGGUCUUCUAAAUCCGAAAUUGCCAGGUGGAGAAAUCCCAUGUGGCUUCAUCGGAUAUGCUGUAAAUCUGGUCUUCUAAAUCCGAAAUUGCCAGGUGGAGAAAUCCCAUGUGGCUUCAUGGGAUAUGCUGUAAAUCUGGUCUUUAUAUUGAUUACCAAAACGUAUCCUGGGUCACGACCUCUGGCCAUGGCCUUAGAGAGACUCUCUUCUAUCAUCUAUUCUCCCUCCUGCAAGUUUAUAGAACUAUGAAAAAUAUGUAUAAGGCCCUCCCAUUCAUAAAAGAUGGAGCUGUAUCUUUUGGAUGGUGGAAUUUUGGAUGGUGGAAUAAUGAGUCCUGGUGUUUUUACCUUGGCCAUUGGGUUUUUUUUUGAAUAUCGAUGAUCAAAAUUUCCUCUUAGUAGCAUAGCCAUUGUGACAACUUUAAUUGUACAUUCACAUUUCUUCUGUUGCAACUGUACAAUUUCUUGGAACAAGCUAAGUUUAUAUGAUUAGCAAAGAAUUCUUUGAUAGAAGAGUAUAUUAUUAUUUGUUAGUAUGAUAUAUAUUACUCAUAUAAUAAAUAUGCAAACAAGGAACUUGGAUAUGAAAGUAUUAAUUUAAUAACAAAAUUAAAACGUAAAACUAAAAUUAAAAGAAUAAAAGAGAAGGAAAAUUCUUAUGAAAUGAAUGAGUUUGAUUCUUUUCGUUUCCUUUGUCGGUGAUGUUUUAGUAAAUUGCAUGUGAUAUACAAAUAGCAUAAAACAAAAUUUUGUGCUAAUUUUUUUUUAUUUUUAGACCACUAUUAAAUCUAUCAACAAUAAACGGCCACCAUAUCUGUAUGUAUUUUGUUUCUAAUAUAUAGUAUUAAAAAAUGUAAAUUGGAAUCUUAUAGAAGCUAACAAUAAAAAUUUUUAUUUGGUUUCACGAUCAAAAUAAUAUAAGUAAAAUAAUUCAAGAUCAUUCAUUAACUUUCUCCUAAUUUUAAUUUGUGAAUUUUAUUUGAUUUUCAAGUAUAAACAAACCAUCCCUACAUAUAAUAAUCAUUAUAAAUUUACUAAUUCUAAUAAAUUUUUGAAUGAUAAGUUUGUAAAUUAUAUUGUUAUACUGGUCGAGACUUGAACUAUUAUAUUAAUACUAAAAAGCUUUAGAGAAGACAAAUUGACUCAAAAAUAAUAUAUUAAUUUGUGAAAUUUUUUCUCACUAUAAAAUUUGUUCAUAUUAAUAAGUAAUAAUGUGCUUCCUACAUAUUUAUUAGCUAAUUAAUAAUUUCCAUCAACUAAAAAGCACGGAUGUUCGAAAACAAACCUUGUCUUGGCACUUCACCUCCAAGUUUGUUGUGGGAAAGAUUGAGGAAUUCGAUCAGAUGAAACCCAUCAAAAAUAUUUGGAAUAUCCCCGGAUAUAUUAUUACUUGAGAGAUCUAAAUUAUGAAGACUUUUCAAGGAUUUGAAAGAAGAUGGAAUUCUACCUUGAAAAAGAUUUCCGCCCAUGUACAGCCCCUCCAACAUCACACAAUCACCCAGGGUUGUGGGUAUUUCUCCUGUCAGUCUGUUAUUCCAAACAUCUAGUGUAACCAAUUGUUUCAAGUUUCCGAUGUUGAAUGUUAAGGGUCCUCCUGAGAAUAGAUUUUGGUCCAAAUUAAGGAAUAAACAUUGGGAAGAAAACCCAAUUUCCGCAGGUAUUAUUCCUCCAAGACUAUUCCAAUCAAAUAGAGUGUCUCUAUGGUGGUGGAGAGAUUUACAAUUGAGCUGGGGAGCUUCCCUCUUAAACCAUUCUGACUGAAGUCCAAGUAAGUUAGAAGGGUACAAUUUACCAGAGAAUUGAAAAAGAUCCAGUCUUGGAGCUGCGAAUAGUCUGCCAAUGGAUUCUGACCCAGACCUAGCACUUGAAGAUUAGGAAGGCUAUUCCAGUUGAUUGGUAUAGGCCCAGUAAUACUGUUUGCCGAGAUGUCAAGGUUAACAAGAUUGGACGCAUUAACUAUUGACGGUGGAAGUGGCCCUGAAAACAGGUUACCUUCACCGUAAAAGCCUUGCAACUUCGGAAGGGUGAAGCCUAAAUCUGAUGGAAGUGUCCCUUCUAAUACAUUCUGGUUUAGACCGACAAUAUAGAGGGACGAACUGUUGUAAAGUGAAGGCGGAACCAGACCCCCCAACCCGUUUACUCCUAAAUUAAGAAACUGUAAACUUGUAUGAUGUGCAAGUUCCAAAGGUAUGCCCCCAAAUAAAUUGUUAUAGGCUAGAUCAAGAUAAAGAAGGGUUGAUAUAUUACCUAUUGAAGGUGGAAUUGAGCCUGUGAAAUUAUUGACUCGAGCAUCAAACUGGUCAAGCUUAGACCAAGAGGAAAACUCGGUGGGUAGUUUUCCUUCAAGUUCGUUGUUACUCAUACUAAGUUUUCUCAUGUUUGUACAAUGACUCAAAUUGGCUGGGAAUUCACCUGUGAAAUAAUUCUGCCUCAAAUUAAGAUACUGGAGGCGAAACAAUAGUCCAAUUUCAUUGGGAAUCGAGCCAUGAAAGUUGUUCUGGUAGACGUAAAGUCCUCUGAGAAACGAAAGAUUACCAAUAUGUGGAGACAAUCUGCCCCCCACUUGUUGGUCGGAGAUAUUUAGUUUUAUUACUCUCUCCCGUCUGCUGCUGCACGUAACGCCCCCCCACUGACAGAAGUGCAUCGAAGUGUUCCAUGAGUCCAGGGCACCCAAUGGAUCAUCUAUGGAAGCCUUGAAGGAAAUCAAGGCCUGCUGAUCAGUGUCGUUGCUUCGAAAAGCAAAUACAAAUAUUUUCGGUGUUGCUGAUACUAGUAAACAGGAAAUGAUAAAUGGGAAGAUCAUGGUUGUAGAAUAAAACAGAGCAAUGAAGUAUUGCUACUGAAAAUACUGUGGACUAUAAUACAACCUUCAUGAUGUCUUUCCGCAACGACUUUGUAGGCCAAGUCGUGUUCAAAGAUCAUCAGCACAUAUUAAAUGGCGAUUAUGAUCUGCCAAAGAAGACUAAAUAUAAAACUAUAAUAGAAGUGCUUGUCAAGACUGUUUCUUGUAUACCAUAAGCACUCAUUCUUAUAUCUAUGCUAGCUCAUUAUACUUUCUAAUUUAGUUGUUCAACUUUUAAGGGGUAGAUUAGUGAGAGGUUUUGCAAUGAGAUAUAAGUUUUAUGGGUAAGAUGUAUGAAGAAGGGUAUGAUCAUGAAUUUUAUUUCUCAUAUUUUUAUAUUUAGUUAAGUAAUUAAAUACAAUGUUUAACACAAAAUUUUAUAAUGAUGCAAAAUUAUAUUGUAAUAAUAAUUUUAUUAAUAUAUUUAAUUAUUCUUGAAAAUUGAAUAUAUUGAUUUGAGAACUCAACCAAUUAUAUGAUAUCAACUACUCAUACCAUCUUAGCCGGAUACCAUAUGACACCUAUGAUUAGGUAAUUAGAUUAAGGCUCUGCAUUUUAAUAUAUAAUUAGAAAAAAGAAGAAAUAUUGUAUCACUAAAUGCUAUAUAUACUCUAUUUUGAUAUCUCAUUUUAAAAUUAAUUAUAGAUUUUAGUAUGUGAUAUAAAGUUGGUUAAAAUGACCACUUUAAAGUGGACAACUAAUUAUUAGAGUAUAUUAGUAUGAAGGGUUCUAUUAAAUAGAAAAUCAUGUAUUAUUAUAAUUAUCUCGUUAUAAAUAUUUUAACUAGAAUGAUCAAAAUUUUCAAAUUUUAUAGGGAUUUUAAUUAUAUCAAAAAAGUUGUGCUAAUUUUUGAGGAGUAUGUGUUUUAGAAAUAGUUACGUACAUGAAAGUUAUCCUUAGUCUGUUUUCAUAUUUUAAGUUUACUCCACCUAUAUUAUCAUAAACUUAAUCAUUUUUAUUUCGUGGAAUCAUCACAUACUUUAAAAAAGUUUCAAGUUAAAUUAUUAGUUGCUAUAUGAUUUAUUGCACUAAUUUAAACUCAGUAGAGCAUGCAUGAUCCUUGACUUUACUGACAAUAGAGCAUCCACAGGGAAUGUUCGUUCCUUGCCGUCCAGCAUGGCUGCACAGAUAGAAGUCAAACUCAGUGGGAUAUGUAUGAUCAUACAACUGUCCCUCGCACUACAUUCCUUGGUGAGUUGCAGAGUACAUAUGCUUGUGACACUGAUUCCAGCACGCAACUGAUGCCUUUUCUUUAGUACAUUUUUGGAGCAUUUUCUUCAUUAUUUGCUGAAAUUAUGCCAUAUAUAUUUGAAUUCAGAGGAUGUCCACAAUAACAUCUGAAAUAAAACUUUAUAUUAAUCGAAAUAUAUAGUGCAGUCAAAGAUACUAUUGUUCCUAUGAUGCCAAACAUAAGAUAACUAGGCAUCCAAUUACCCGAGGAACUUGUGAAUAAAAAACACAGUGAUCAUCUGCAGUGCAAUGAAAUGAGUGAUAUAAAAUUUCAUAUAUAGCAUUAUUUAAGUGAAAUUUCACUAUUUAAGAAUAACAAAAUUAGUGUCGUAUUUGAGUAUGUUAAAAAGUAUUAGUGAGAUUAAUAAGUAAUUAAUUUUACUAAAUGUAAAUAUUAAUAAAAAAUUUCAAAUAUUAAAUCCUUACCAUUUUUUUAAAUAUUGUACAAAUUUUACAUUCUUAAUUAACUAGUUUGAUUUUCUCUUACAAAAUUGUGGCAUUUUUAAAAUCACAUAGGAAUCUAGAAUCAUAUACGAACAAACGCCCCUAAUUAUUGUGAUCUAGGUACCUGCUUGUAUCUAAAAUCUAAAAUUUUAUAAUCACAAAAAAUCCUUAUAAUUAAAAGUGGUAAAAAGUACAAACCUGCUUGCAUCUAAAAUUUUAUAAUCACACAAGAUCCUUAUAAUGAAUAGUGGUAAAAAGUACAAGCCAGAUCUGCUUGUAUAAUCUAAAAUUUUAUAAUCACACAAGAUCCUUAUAAUUAAAAGUGGUAAAAAGUACAAACCAGAUCUACUUGUAUCAGUUUGGGAUCUGAUGGCGCAGGUGCUUGUUGGUAUGAAUUUACUUUGAGCAUCACAACAAACGUCCCUAUUUAUCGUGAUUUAGGUAUCUGCCUGUAUCUAAAAUUUUAUAAUCACGAAAAGUCCUUAUAAUUAAAAGUGGUAAAAAGUACAAAUCAGAUCUGCUUGUAUCAUUUUGGGAUCUCAUGGCGCAUGUGCUUGUUGGUAUGAAUUUACUUUGAGCAUCACAACAAACGCCCCUAAUUAUCGUGAUUUAGGUAUCUGCUUGUAUCUAAAAUUUUAUAAUCACAGAAAAUCCUUAUAAUUAAAAGUGGUAAAAAGUACAAACCAGAUCUGCUUGUAUCUGUUUGGGAUUUGAUGGCGCAGGUGCUUGUUGGUAUGAUAUUACUUUGAGCAUCACAACAAACGCCCCUAAUUAUCGUGAUCUAGGUAUGGAAGACAAGUCUUUUUCUUCUUUUUUGCGAUUCAAACAUAAAUAUAUUUAUAGAUAUAUAUAUUCACAAAUGAUAUAACAAAAAAAAUCUAGUACAUAUACUAAAGAAUGUUAAUUUAAAGAAAUAAACAACUCUUAUUAAGUUGGAAUUGCAAAGAUAAAUUUACUUCUUCGUAUUCAUUAUAUGGUGGCUGUAUGGAGAAAAUUGUGAAGGUUAUACCUCUCAGGUAAAACCUAUACCUCUAUAUAUAGCACAUCAAUAUAUCUAGAAUGUUCCUCAAUUUGGGUUUGGUCACAACUAGUGGGCCUGGAUUUGCCAUUUAACUAUAUUCUAGAAAUUUAUAACAUUUUUAAUUUUGAACUAUUAUUUACUUUAAUUCAUUUUAUAAUAUUUUUUGAAGAUUUGAGGUUCUUCUCUCAUUUUGUGUAACAUUUUAGACUGACUUGGGCUUGAGACAUUAUGGGCCUUCUUUUUUGGAUCUUAACUAGUUAAACAAGUAACUUGGAACUUUAACAUGUUAAAGAUAGUGUAAAUAAGUGAAAUGCUUUAUUUUCAUUUCCCACUUCCAAUAAAUAUAUAAAAUUUAAAUAUAUACUUUUCUCCAUCUUUCAACUCACUAGCUAAGACAUCCCCUCAUCCCCAUCCACCUAUCUACUCCAUCAUCAUCUUUCUUUUUCUCUAUUCAUCGAAAUUGUUUCCUUCAUCCCGACGACCUCUCCAUGUAUCUUUUCUCCCCCAUCUUCUUACAUCUCUCUCUUCGUCGAUAUGAUUCAAAUGCAAAAUACUCAUACAUCUUAUAGUUUGUCAUAUCUUAGGUAAAAUGGAAAUGGUAAUAUGAGAUGUGAGCCGCUCGGAUCCGUAAUAAAAGACGAUGGUAGUUAAAUCGUUUGUGGAAGAGAGAGAGAAACUACUGUGGUAGGUGAACUACCUGUGGAGGAGAUAAAAAUCAUUGUUGUAAUUAAGUCACUAGCGUAGGAGAGAGGUCAUGUCGUGGUAGUUGGAUCGUGGGAAGAAAUUAAGAGGAGGCACUUAAAGCGGAAGAUAUUGGUGUUAUAUAUUAAAUUUGAUAAUUUAUCAAAAAUAAUAGAACAAAAUCAAUUGAAUUUUUGAUCUGGAUGUUACUUGCGGAAAGAUGAGAUAAUAACAGAGAUAGGAAGUGGUUCUCACUAUAAUUAUAUAGAUAAUAUUGAUAAUAUUGUAUAUAGCUAAUAUAUAAAUAUGUUAUAAGAAUCAAAAAGAUUUCAUUAGAGUAAGACUAUAUAUAUUAUAUAUAUUAAAUAUUUGAUAUAUUUUUUCGUUAUACUUAGUUAUAAUUUUUAACAUACAAUUAGAUCUAAAUAUAUUCAAACAUGCAAUGCGAUAAUUUAUUUAUAAAAAUCAAUUUUUCUUCAUCUUAUAUUAUAGGUACAAGCUAUUUUGCAUGGUAACUACUAACUAGAUGACAUUUAUAUUUAUAAAUCAUCAUGUGUUAUUUUUAUUAUUUGUAUUAAAUAAUUUCAAUAAGUGUAAGGAAAUGUUCCCUUACUAAAAACCUCUUUAUUAAAAAAUAUGAGAGCUCAAAUUAUUUUAAAGAACAAUUUUUUUCAUAUUUUUCAUCAUCUUUGAGAAUAUGAAAAAUUAGUUAAAUAAAAUAAUUAUAUAAAUGUAGUAAUUAAAUGACGGUAUUUGUUAGGGAUUUUUUUUUUAAAUGAUAAUGUAUCAGGAGCUGAAGAAGUAAUUUUGAAUAUAUAUAUUAUAUUGAUCAGUUCCAUAAAAUAUAUUCUUCUAGAUUUCUACUUACCAUCCUCCCCUUGGUUUCUCCGCCGGAAAAUACCACAUAAUUGUGUGUACAAAAUUUUGUACAUAAUGACAUGUGUUGGGUAGUAAUUGGAAUGAGCCCGCUGUAUUUACAUCAACCACCCAAUUAAAACCCAGCACAUUCAUUGCCACAUUAUUAUGUACAAAAAUUUUAUACACAAUUUUGUGCACCUAGCACUACUCUUUCUCCGCCUCCCUAUCUUUCCUCGUUUUUUACGUCUUCCCUCCUUUUGUCCGCCUCCUUAUAUUUCCUCGGUUUCAUCGCCUCCCCUUGAUUUUCACACAUAGACACACACUUAUAAUCAUAAGAAGAAUGGGCAUGAGCACUAAAGCGUGCCUCUAAAUAGGUGAGCAUUGAAAUGAUUUGGCGGUUAAAUUUUAAAAAUGGAGAUCGAUCGAUGUAUAUGCAUAUGUGUUUCCCUUGAUAAAAGUUGGUGCCAUGUAAGUAGAAGAGUUUUAAUUUAAUAUUACGUGGAUUUAAUUUCACCAUUUUGAUUUCAUGGGUAUUCUUUAUUUAAUCUUCUACUCAAAAUUUUUAGGGUAUUCGAGGUUGUUCUUGGUACAUUACUACGAUCUUUAAAAGGCAAAUGAAGCCCCUUACACCAGCAGGUGAAACUGGUGUGGGGAGUACUAGGCCUAGAAGGCAAAGGGGUAGCCUCUGGCUGAAGAAGAGCCAGGCAUUGAUGUGGACACAUCUGAAGGUGUCCUCAGACCUGGACAUCACCUCUCUGCUUAUGCUAGAGAUUGAAGGUAGCAUAUUGAUAUAUAUAUUUGUUAAUAUUCUUCUUUUCCAUGAUCAGCUUCCAUUUUUAAGUAGUAAUAUAAUCAUUGGUGUUGUAUAGCAGGAACCUAUACACAAGAUCUUAAUUGUCCAAGUAGAAUAUUUGUCCAGCAUUUUUAGGUUAAUUGACGGGGUCUUUAGAUUUCUUGUUGGUCGAAUUAUAGUUUUCAUAUGCUUUAAACAGUCAGUUUAAAAUGAAUUUUAGUUCUUUUUUUAUUAUUAAAUUUGUGUUUUUGGUUGGAAUCUGUUUAGUAUGUUUAGGUUGAUUUUUUUAUGUAAUUACAUAUACCUCCACAUAAUAAAAGUUCAAAUAUGAAUUAAUUUUUUUAAUUUGUGAUCCAUAAUUGGGUGAGUAAUAUUUUGUCUCAAUGGAUUAUUAUAGGUGAUGUGAAGAUAUAUGGGUUCGUGGAAGAAGCUUUGGAUGAUGAUAUAUAGGACGAGAGGAGGUGNUCUUUCCUCGUUUUUUACGUCUUCCCUCCUUUUGUCCGCCUCCUUAUAUUUCCUCGGUUUCAUCGCCUCCCCUUGAUUUUCACACAUAGACACACACUUAUAAUCAUAAGAAGAAUGGGCAUGAGCACUAAAGCGUGCCUCUAAAUAGGUGAGCAUUGAAAUGAUUUGGCGGUUAAAUUUUAAAAAUGGAGAUCGAUCGAUGUAUAUGCAUAUGUGUUUCCCUUGAUAAAAGUUGGUGCCAUGUAAGUAGAAGAGUUUUAAUUUAAUAUUACGUGGAUUUAAUUUCACCAUUUUGAUUUCAUGGGUAUUCUUUAUUUAAUCUUCUACUCAAAAUUUUUAGGGUAUUCGAGGUUGUUCUUGGUACAUUACUACGAUCUUUAAAAGGCAAAUGAAGCCCCUUACACCAGCAGGUGAAACUGGUGUGGGGAGUACUAGGCCUAGAAGGCAAAGGGGUAGCCUCUGGCUGAAGAAGAGCCAGGCAUUGAUGUGGACACAUCUGAAGGUGUCCUCAGACCUGGACAUCACCUCUCUGCUUAUGCUAGAGAUUGAAGGUAGCAUAUUGAUAUAUAUAUUUGUUAAUAUUCUUCUUUUCCAUGAUCAGCUUCCAUUUUUAAGUAGUAAUAUAAUCAUUGGUGUUGUAUAGCAGGAACCUAUACACAAGAUCUUAAUUGUCCAAGUAGAAUAUUUGUCCAGCAUUUUUAGGUUAAUUGACGGGGUCUUUAGAUUUCUUGUUGGUCGAAUUAUAGUUUUCAUAUGCUUUAAACAGUCAGUUUAAAAUGAAUUUUAGUUCUUUUUUUAUUAUUAAAUUUGUGUUUUUGGUUGGAAUCUGUUUAGUAUGUUUAGGUUGAUUUUUUUAUGUAAUUACAUAUACCUCCACAUAAUAAAAGUUCAAAUAUGAAUUAAUUUUUUUAAUUUGUGAUCCAUAAUUGGGUGAGUAAUAUUUUGUCUCAAUGGAUUAUUAUAGGUGAUGUGAAGAUAUAUGGGUUCGUGGAAGAAGCUUUGGAUGAUGAUAUAUAGGACGAGAGGAGGUGUUUGAAGCGGUGGUAGAGUAACAAACCGAAAAGGAAAAUGCAAAAGCAAAAAUUUCAUUACUUGUUCUAAAAUUAAAAACAAUUUAGUGACAUGUUUUGUAUCCAUCAGAUAGAUGUUUUUAUUAUUAAAAUAGGUUUCUUAUCUAUGACUUUAUCAGUAAAUUGCAUCUAAUGAGUCUAUUAAUGGUGAACAUGCAUCUCUAAUGAUGGAAUGAAUCGUUAAAACAUUACAAAUUUAAUAUCUAACUAUUUUAAAUAUCUUUACCCUUAAAAGACCUAGUCUUAGUUUUGUGUGCAUUCUUUUUUUACAUAGUAAAUGAAUAUGAAUACAUUCUGCUUAGCUGUUUCUUUGUAAAUGAUUUUUUACAUUAAAAAAACAAUUUUUCUCGAAUGUGCAUAUAUAUAUAUAUAUAUAUAUAUAUAUAUAUAUAUAUAUUAUGUAAGCACUUUAUGAUUGUUAGAUUACUUUGUUAGAUCUGCAUUAAUCAAUCCCGCCUUCUAUGGUAAAGACAUAAGUUAAUUAAAUCUAACUGAUCUCUACUAGAAUGCUCCGUAUUAACCAUAGAAAGAGCAAUGAUGAUGUUAUGGAUCCACCAAAAGAUUUCUUCUAAACUGAGAAAAUAGGUUAAAUAUAGUGAUAACUAUAAAAAUAUGAAGAGCUAUGGGCUUAACCUAUUGCUUAACAUGGUUUUGGUAUUCACUUAAUUUUAUUGACUAGAAAUUCUAAAAAUUUGAUUCAAUAGGCCAACUAAAUCAUGAUAUAUUCAUAUCACUAAUAAGUCUAUAAGAUAAAGACCAUCUAUGUGGAAGAGGAGUGCGACAUCUUUUAUGAAAAAUUAUAAUGACAAUUCUUUAUAAACUCUAUAGCAUGUAUUAUGUUCCAUGGCUAAAUACACAUAUUCAUGAGAAUCCUUCAUAUAUCUCGUUGCUAAAUAUUAUAAUGGCAAUCCUUCAUAUAUCUGGUUACUAAUUGAGUUAUAGUAAGAGAAUUCCUCCAACCAUGCCAUAAAUAGAAAAAUUGCCUCCUACUAAUGAAUUAUAAGCAUAUAUCUUUUUUUUUUUACUUUCUUUUCUUAACGACGAGAAUCUAUUAUCGCUUUUUGUGUGUCCUCGGAAAUUUAAAGUAGGUGCAAAUUCUCCCAAUUGGUGGCCUACCAUACGAUCGGUUAUAUAAAUAGGUAAAUGUUCCUUUCCAUUAUGGAUAGCAAUGGUAUGGAGAGCAACCACUGUUUCUAAAAUCAUUGCACGCCCAUCCAUAUAGUAUGUAGGAUAUUAUAAUCAAAAACAGGGCUUGUAGUGAGAAAAAUUUAAAAAAACUAGUAACUCAAAUAAGGUAACAACCAAAAUACUAGAAUUUCCUUUAUAAUAAUCUUAAGAACCACUUAAUUACUCAUGACAAAUGAAGCAGUCGAAUACUAAUCCAAGGUAUAUAACUAAAGUUCUCUUUCAAGCUCAAUAGUCUAUUAACUAAAAAUUUUAGCUUACUUAUCUAAGGUGGGGAUCAUGAUCAUUUUACUGAAUUUUUUGAAACAAAGGAAAGAUUUCAUUAAAACAAAGCAUCCGACAAUAUUGUCUCCAACACACACGAUGGAGGAGACGAGAGAUCAAUGAAGCUGCUAGGCAUACAAGGUAAUCUAGCUAAAGAGUGCGCUACCCUGUUAGCAUGCUUCUUAAUGAAACGAACUGAGACACCUACUUUACUGCUUAAUUAGAAUAGAACGGCAUUGAGCUACUAAAUCUCCGAUCUCUAGCUGAUUUUGCUUGUCCUUGUUUAUCGCCUGAACACUUAGUAAGGAGUCACUUUCAAUCACAGCGGUUUGCUCCUGGAAUGCAGCAGACCACAAAAGAGCUUCCAGAACACCUACUAGUUCAGCCUCAAGCACCGUAACUUUCCCUGGCAAUCGCAUUGUUUUACCUUUGAUAAACAGACCCUGAUGGUUUCUUAUCACCAUUCCCACGGAGAAUGAAUCUGCUCCCUCAAAAACUGAGGCAUCAACAUUAAUUUUCAGCGUUCCAAUAUCAGGAGCCACCCAUCUGUUAGCAUGCUUCAAUGUAUUGCUCUGCUGUUGGCUAGAGGUACUAUUCUUUCGCUUUUGAGCUUCCCUCCAUUCUACUAUCUGUUUUGAGCUCCAUGUCAUAGCAGUCUCAGCAGAAAUCUCCUUUCCUUCCCAAACCCGUUGGUUCCUAGCCCACCAAACUCCCUAGAUCACCGUUGCUAUUUUGAUGAGAUUGCUACUUGAUUCAGAAUGCAGCCUGUCCAGAAGCCAUUCUGGGGCACUUUCGACCUCCCACAUAUCAUACAUUAAUCCCACACCCUUCCAACAACACUUAGCAAAUUCACAGUCAAAAAACAGAUGGAAUAGGUGUUCCACCUCUCCUGUACACAUCACACAAGAUAUAGGGACGUGAAUACCUUUGACUCUGAGAAGGUUUCGAACAGGAACAUUGUUCCGACAAAGUCUCCAGAGGAACGUUCUGAUCUUGUAGGGGAUAUUCAGGCGCCAGAUUUUUCCCCAUCCAUUUGAUUGUUGCAGAGCUGCUUCCCCCCUAUGCUGUGAGUGCCAAUAAUGGUAACCCGAUUUCAGAGAGUACUGUCCAUUGCUAGAAUGAACCCAGGCUAUCCUGUCACUUGUACUGAUUUCACUACAAGAAAAAACACUAAAAGCCACAAACAAAAGCGAUCAAGUAUAAAAGCCACCGAAAGCGGUGGCUUUUACUUAAAAUACAAAUUUGAGUUGACUGAUAAACAAAAGCAACCGUGUUUGGUAGCUUUUAUUGACCGUGGCUUUUGUUUGGUGGCUUUUAUCCAGGGUCGCUUUUGUUUGGUGGCUUUUAAAUAUAAAAGCGACCGGAUAAGUCUCGCGGUCGCUUUUAACUUUCAUGUGUUUUGAGCGGGAAUUUCCCGCCUAAAAGAAGUAAAAAAAAUAUAAAAACCAAAGCUACUAUUUUAUAGCCGGUCGCUUUUGUCAGUAAUAAUUAUUUUAUGAUUUUUAUAAAAAAGUUCACGAGUCACACAUAUUAAUAUGAGUUGAUUUUGUAAUAUGAAGAAAUAAAAAUAAAUAUUUAUUUAUAUAUUUUUAUAAUAGUCAAGAUCAAAUAAUUUUUUUUAAAUAACUAGUCUUGUGAUAUAUGAUAUUUGAUUUAUUUUUUUCACCAUUCAAUCAUAAAUAUCUUAAUAUGUGUUGAUUUUAAUUAUGUGAAGAAAUAAAAGAUAACAACUUAAUUUUCUCAUAAUGGUCAAGAAAAUUUAACAAUUAUUUUUAACUAGUCUUGUCAAGAAUGAUUAUUUUCGUUUUUCUAAAAUUUAUUUAACUAAUUUGUGGAAUUUGAGUCGCUAAAAUAGCUGCAGCAUCUACGUUAUUGAAUGUAUGUCUAACUUUCACUUCAUCCCAAACCUUCUUAUCCCUCAUGAAACAGCAUUACAGCAGCCUCGGCGGGACAGUGGUGGGCAAUGGCACCCAAAGGGUCGGGGCUGACAGUAUAUGUGGGUUGGUCUGGUGGGAGUGGAUGUGGGUGAGUAAAGUGGCAGUACAUGACUGUAGGUGAGGAUGUGACUAUGGUUAUCAGGUUAUGAAAGAAAUUUUUGCUUUUUAUUUAAUUUUAUUUAUAUUCUAUAACUUAUAUAUAUAUAUAUAUAUAUAUAUAUAUAUAUAUUAAAUAUUUGAUAUAUUUUUUCAAAAUACAUAUUUAUAAUUCGGUUUUUCUAUGGUGUGCCCAAGGGCACACACUAAGCACUUUUAUGAGUUUGGUGCAUUCUUAUUGGUCAUGUAAUCAUAAAUAUGGAUGGCCCCCUGCAUUUACACCAACUCCACCAAUUAAAAUCCACUAAACUCAUCAAAUUUAGUGCUUAAUGGGUGCCCUUGGGCACACACUAGAAAGACCCUUUAUAAUUUUAACAUAUAAUUAGAUUUAAAAUUUUCAAACAUGUGAUGCCAUAAUUUAUUUCAGAGAAAUCUAUUUUCCUACUUCUUACAUUUUAAAUAAAAGUUAUUUUGCUUGCUAACUAGAUAAAAUUUGUAUUUAAGUAUAAUAAUAUAUUAUUUUCUUAUCAGUAUGUGUAAAUAAUUUCAGUAAGUGUAACUAAAUAUUUCCUUAUUAAUAAAAACCUCUACACUAAGAAGUAUGAGAGCACAAAUUAUAAUAAAGGAGUUAUUUUAUAUUUUUUUCAUCUUUGAGAAUACAAUAAAUUAUUCAAAUAAAAUAAUUAUGCAAGGAAAAUAAUUAAAUGAGGGUAACUGUUAAGAAAUUUUUUGUUAAGAUAAAUGAUAAUGUACAGAGUUCAAGAAGUAUUUGUUGAAUGUGUAUAUAUUAUAUUGAUCAAUUUGAUAAAAUAUACUAUUCCCCACAUUUUGUUAAAAAUAAUUAUAUAUAAUUUUGACUAUAAAAUAAAAGAAAUGUGUGGGUGAUUCUGGAUUAUUCUUGUUGCAUGCAUUUGUUUUUAAUUUUGAAUGCAUGUAUUAGUCCUGAUGCAUAAUCUCUAGAAUAUUCUAGUCUUUUGCUUUCUAGCAUUUAAUUAGUCUCCAGAUCUUUCCAUUGAGUCCUAUAUAAAGCCUUGUAUCAAAUCAUUUUUCAUCAACUAAGUUAAAGCAAUUCAUUUUAUAUAAAAUUCUCUUUUCCUAAAUAUUUGAGUUGUGGGAGUUUUAGUGAAAACCAUUCUUCCCCUAUACAUCCAACACAACCAUUCUUCCCCUAUAUAUCCAACACAUUUUUAGCCCACAUCCCGGUUCUACGUCUAUUCUAGUUUUGUCUGCCUCCUUAGAUUUCCUCGGUUUCUUCGCCUCCCCUUGGUUUCUCCGCUAUAAAAUUUAACAUAUAUAUAUAUAUAGUCUUAAAAGAAUGGCCAUGAUAAUCGCUAAAGCGUGGCUGUUAAUAAGUGAGAAUUGAAAUGAUUUGCCGAUUAAAUUUUAGCAAUGGAGAUCUAUAUAUGCCUAUAUGUGUUUCCCUUGAUAAAAGAUGGUUCCAUGUAAGUUCAAGAGUUCUAAUUUAAUUGUGCGGAUUAUAUUAUUUAACCAUUUUGAUUUGAUGGGUAAUCUUUAUUUAAUCUUCUUUUACUCAUAAAUUUUAGGGUUUUGGCAUCCGAGAUUGUUCUUGGUACAUCUGUAAAAGCCCUAGAAGGAAACCCGUUACACCGGCGGGUGAAGCUGGUACACUUGGGGGGAAUACCAGGCCUAGACGGCAAAGGAAUAGCCUGUGGCACAGAAGUGGACACGUCUCAAGGUGUCUUCAGACCUGGAGAGAGAGCCAUCCCUGACACACAACCUCUCCAGGACAUAUGUCUAUAUAUAUAUAGACAGUGAUUCAGAUGAGAAGCAGCGAGAUUACCAAAACCUAUCCUGGGUCACAACCUCUGGCCAUGGCCUCAGAGAGACUCUUUUCUAUCAUUUAUUCUCGCUCCUGCAAGUUUAUAGAACUAUGAAAGAUAUGUAUAAGGCCCUCCCAUUCAUAAAAGAUGGAGCUGUAUCUUUGGAUGGUGGAAUAAUGAGUCCUGGUGUUUUUGACCUUGGCCAUUGGGUUUUCUUUUGCAUAACGUUCAAAAUUUCCUCGUAUUAGUAGCAUAGCCAUUGUGACAACUUUAAUUGUACAUUCACAUUUCUUUUGUUGCAACUGUACAAUUUCUUGAAACAAGUUUAUAUGAUUAGUAAAGAAUUCUUUGAUAAAAGAGUAUGUUAUUAUUUGUUUGUAUGAUAUAUAUUAUUCAUAUAAAAAAUAGAGGAAAAAGGAGGUGAGAUGAACAUUAUAUAAGAUAGUUGGUUACAUCAGGCUAAACGACAUCUGCUGCUGUCGUUUCAAGAUUAUUUCUUAAGCAAAUCAUACUCCAUGUACUUUCAGUAACAUCAUUAUUAAUCAUAAAAAUUUGUUUUCAAACAAAACGUGUUAAUUCUAUUCUUUCAAGAUUAUAAUGAUCCAGAGUAAAGUUGACAUAAUUAAAGAACACAGCAGCGGCUACAACUCAACUAUUAUGUUUGGGAGAAGAGUGGAUAAAACACAUCGACAGUUGAGUCGGUUCUUUACAUUACAAAUGAACUGUAUCAAGUUGUAGAUGUCUGGUAGUAAUGGUGUCACUACAAGGAAAGCGGCUUAUUUCGACCGCCAGAAUACGGUCGAAAAUAGUUAUUUUCGACCGCAAAAAACCGGUCAUAGAUAACGUGGUCGAAAUUCGGUUCCCGGUCGAAAAUAAUUAUUUUCGACCGCUUUUCGACCGGCUAAUUUCGACCAAAUACGGUCGAACAAUUCCCCACGACAAUUUGACUUUGAAAAUUUUGAAAAUUUGGAAUGCCGCUCAAAAUUUGAAAUUGCGGUCGAAUUUAUAAUUUCGACCGCUGUUUAAAACUCCCGCCAAUUUCUUGCCACAAUUUUGUGGUCGAAAUUAUUUGACCAUUUAAUUUUUCCGGUCGAAUUUAUUAUGCAAAUUGCUGAAUUUUUUUUUCGACCUUCAUUUUUUCCGGUCGAAUAUAUUAUGCAAUUAUAAAAAAAAUUCAGUUUGUGCAUACCUCUACCUACCUGUACAAAUCCAAGAAUUGAAAUAUCCAACAAACAAUAAUUUUAAAACAAAUUCUACAUCCAAACCCCCUGACAUAAAAUAAAGGCUUAAGAGGCACACUGCCAUUGCAAUCCAUAAUCCAAAAUACAAGUUAUACGUUACUUGUUAUCGACAAAAUAUAUAUAAGUGAUACUUCCAUCACUGGCAUCAACCAAAACAUAAGUUAGAUAUUUGUCAAAUUCCAGGAAACUACCUCAUUCACAGCUGCCUAUACUAAGAUAAAGGGUAUAAAUAAGCAUUAACAUCAAACUCUCCUUCCCCUUCCCUGCGGGCUCUGGCUGACUAGGCUCCUUCUCCUUCCCCGCCGGCUCUAGCUGACUAGACUGUUAAAAGAACAUAAAUUAGUUAAAACAUAGAUACAGGUCAAAAUUGAUUAGUUAAAGAAAAUAAGCCAAUAGUAGUUAAAACACAAAAUAAAUAGACGAAUAAAAAAUGGAGCACAUUAAAAGAAGAUUGAACUAAUCUCAUGGCUAACAUUAACGUUGACCAUUUAUGAAUGUUUAAAGGUUUCUGGAUCAAUUUUUUACAAUAUCAUGGAAGGUACAUUCAACAGAACUUUGUUCUAGACAUUUGGGAUAGAAAUAAUGAUAUUAUGUUGGCAAGAGUCUUGAAAAGAAAUGAUCUUUUAGUAAGCAGCAAACGUUAUGAAAACUUCAGAUACAGAAGUGUGCCAACUGAAACAAAAAACUGAGAACUUACAAUGCUACCAAAAGGCCGAUAGAAUAUAUGUUCAAAUUAAAACAUAGAUAUUACAGACAGGCAGUUACCAAUCACCAUUUAAUACUUGUGAUCCAACCCAUUAUCAACGAGAGCGAUGGAGUUAAGAUUCCAGUACUAUUCCACUUAAUUAAGAUGAGAACUAAAGCAUUAAAAUCAAUCUUCUUCUAUGCCACUUGACUAAAACAAGAACUAAAAGCAUAGGAAUAACUUGCAAUCAUGGAGCACAUUAAAAGAAGAUUGAACUAAUCAACUAGUAAAGGAGAAGCGUUGCCCAUACUACAACUAGAAUAUCGAUCAAAUCAAACAAAUGGAAACACAAUCAGAUCAAAAGUAAAUAGUAGAACUUAACAGCUUCAGAUCCAUAGCAACAUAAAGAAACUCCAAACAAAGCCACAUGACCAAGAGAUGCAUGCCGUGAUCACAGAAAACACAAAACAACUAAAUCCACCGACACAGAAAAACAAACAAACCAGCAUUUCAACAUUGACAUUUCAAAAUGAAAUUAUGAUCCACAUCUAAUCACACAACCCAAAACAAUCCAGAUUCAAACAUAUUAUCUUCAUCAUAAUGUGAAUUUAACAAUAUUAAACUAUAUUCAUCUCAUAAACAAAUACACACACACACACACACACUGUUUCACACCAUCAAUGCGUAAGCAGAGUAGUUAAUCUCAUAUUUAUUAUGUAAGAUGUGGCACGAACAGCAGGUGAACAAGUUGGACAAUAGAGCAAAAAACUUAAUAUUAUCUUUAUUAUAUUUACUAAUGUACUCAAGUUCACAUGAUGAAAUGAUAUAUGUUGUACAGAUAUUAAAAGAUACAGUAAAUUAAUAAAAAUGUCAAUGCACAAGCAUGAAGAAUUAUUUGCAUAUUGAAAAAGAAAUACCAAGUGCAGAAAGAAAGACAAGGAUAUGGAAAGCUAGGUUUAUUGUCGCUAAGCUGGGGGCACAUACCUUUAUAAUGACCUUGUCAUUAUCGAUGAGAAUUUUUGGAAUUAAUCCCCUAGCUGCCCGGAUGUAGUGAGUCCGAUAUAACUCCUGGACUUGGUUCGGAAAAGCUGCAGUGGCUAACUUGCUAAGUUCCUGAUCGAGAAAGGCUUGUGUGAUCUCACGUGUAGGCAACGCAUGUACCAUCAGCUGCAAAUUGCCCAAUAUAACAGACAUCAUCCCAUAAAUAUGAUCUGAAACCUCAUUGACGGACUCGCGCGGUUUUUCAGCAUAUUGUGCUGCCUCUGCUCUUCCAACAAGCUCUGACACUCUCUAUCCGGGAAAAAGACUCAGUUUCCCUUUCCUAGGAGGUUUAGCCUUUAGCAACACCAACAGAUCUCGUUUUUGCUUAAUUUCUGUAGAAAUUUUUUCACCAUCUUCAGGCAAUGGAGGCAUAGAAGACUCAACCUCAAUCAUUUUCUCCUACAAUAUAACAAGCAAGAAUUCAACAGUAAGAUUCAUUUGCAUAAUUGCAUAAUUUAUUUAUUUGUUUAAAAUAAAAAAGUAAAUUAACUGUGACAAAUAGCUUAUAUUUUGUAAAUUAACUAUUACAAGAAAUAGAGCCGCCAACUUCUGAGUACCCUGACAUGCACGAUAACUUCAUUGCCGAUCAAAGAUAUAUUGUUAUCAGCUAGUCAAAAUAUCUAAUUCAAUGAGCUAGUCAAAAUAUCUAAUUCACUCCGCUAUCAGCUAACCGUUAAUUUCCAAACAGGCCAAUAUAUAAGUUACGUGAUUCUUGAACAAUUAUUAACAAAGUGUGCGUGCGUGCAUUCUGCUUAGUGUAACAAGAAUCAGAUUCUCCGAGUAGCUAUAAUACGUUGCACGGACAACUAAUUAAAUGUGUCUUAACAUGAUCAUGAAUGAUGAUCGAUCAAUGCUUUUAUAUACGUGACCACCUGCUACUCGUAUAUACUACUGUACUAUAUAUCUAGCUAGAAUGUCUAUGAACUUAAGUUAGGCUAUAAAUAUACGGGCCUGUAAUUUGAAUUUAGACAUACUGAUACUCGUGUGCAGCUAAGAGUAUUAAUAUCAACUACGAGUAUGAUUUGAAUUAAUAAUUAUACGAGUUGAUAUUAAUACACCUGUCGAUAAACUAAUUAAUUAGUAGAAAACAUGAAAUCAGAAAAUAAGCUGAAAAGAUCCAAAAUCACCAAGCAAAUAGAAAUGGGGUUUGGUUUUCUGUUACCUAUUUUGUCCUGCUAAACGGAAUCUAAAUUUGCAGUAUAAUAAUUUGCAGUAAAACAAACCUUCAGUUCUUUCACUGCUGGUUCCUCAGGAUUAUAUACAUAAUCCACAAACUCUAAAUGUGUUAGUGGUGGCAAGCCUUUCGCCUCUCUUUCUUUAUCAAUUUUCUUCCGAGCAAAUAUAAAAAAUUAAAAAAUCAGUGCACCAAUUUACUUGACAAGUGAUACAAAUAAAAAGAACAUGGAAACUAAUAGAAAAAUACCCUUUUUUCUUGUAGUGUGUUUAGUAUAUUCAUGGUAGAGCAUCACCGCCUCUGAGGAGAAACAAAAGAAGACGCGACAAGAAUAUAUAUGUGUAUAACUACUGUAUUUUUCUUUUAAUAAUUAAAAAUGGCAACUGCUCCCGUGUUUGUGUUAAAAGGCAUGUCGUUUUGACCUCAUAUAAGGCAUUCGUAUAUGAGGUUAAUCUCACCUCCAUUUUUCUCUAAUAAAUAUGCAAAUAAGACACUCGAAUAUGAAAGUAUUAAUUCAAUAACAAAAUAAAAACCAUGAGUAUCAAGGAAAACUAAAAUUAAAGGAAUAAAAGAGAAGGAAAAUUCUUAUGAAACAAACACCAACGAAUGAGUUUGAUUUUUUUCAUUUUCUUUGUUGGUUAUCGCGAUGUUUUAAUAAAUUGCAUGUGAUAUCCAAAUAGCAUAAAACAAAAUUUUGUGCUAAUUUUCUUAUUUUUAGACCACUAUUAAAUCUAUCAACAAUAAAUAGCCACCACAUCUAUAUGUAUUUUGUUUCUAAUAUAUAGUAUUAAAAAAUGUACAUUGGAAUCUUAUAGAAGCUAACAAUAGAAAUUUUUAUUUGGUUUCACGAUCAAAAUAAUAUAAGUAAAAUAAUUCAAGAUCAUUCAUCAACAUUCUCCUAAUUUUAAUUUGUGAAUUUUAUUUGAUUUUCAAGCACAAACAAACCAUCCCUAAAUAUAAUAAUCAUUAUAAAUUUACUAAUUCUAAUAAAUUUUUGAAUGAUGAGUUUCGUAAAUUAUUUUGUUAACUAUUAUAUUAAUACUAAAAAGCUUUAGAGAAGACAAAUUGACUCAAAAAAUAAUAUAUUAAUUUGUGAAAUUUUUUCUCACUAUAAAAUUUGUUUAUAUUAAUAAGUAAUUAUGUGCUUCUUACAUAUUUAUUAUCUAACUAAUAAUUUAAUAAUAAUAUGAUGAAAUAUAUUUUACUCGAAUAAAAGAUCAUUCUGUGUUUUCUUGAAAAAAAAUUCAAACUUUUAAUUAUUCAAAUUAUUAUAAAUAUGAUAAAUUUAAUUAAUUCUUACACAUUCAUUAAUAAAAGUUAUUUUAAUGUUGUAUUUAUCAUAAAUUAAUAUUGAUCAUGUACAAAUUAAGUUCAAAAGUUAAGAUACAUAUUUUACGUUCUCAAACAGUAUGUAUUCAUUUUGCAUUAAAUGAGAAAGUCAAGUUAAACAAUUUGCAUUAGGUAAAUCACAGGUACACAAUUUACAUCAUGAGGAGGAUCUUCGGAUAGGUAUAUUACAUUUCACUCAAAUAUAUUGGGCAUGUUAAAUUUGGCUUUGUAAUGAGUUCUACAUUUCCCUUGUUUCUUUAAAGGAAUCUGCACCAACAACAAACCAACAACUAAAAAAAGAAGAAAACGAAAACAGAUCUGCAGCAGAUCAGGUGACAGAGUUUAUUGGAGGGCAUGGUAUAGUCUUCCUAAUGAACUCCUCCUUUUUGGGGAAUAAUAAGCCCAGAAAAAGGCCUUAUGAGCACUAACUAUUAUUCUCUCAAAACAAAGAUUUAGUAAUGUACCAAGAACAACCCCAAUAAAACAUAAUUAAUUACUUGUAUUCAAUUUGGAGGCAAACACUAACCACAGUUACACAAACAGAAGCAUCAAUUUCUUCCGGGUCUGAAUUUCCAGAUGGAUCAGCAUUGCUACAAUGAUCUGAUCCACAACUCUGGAUUGAAGUACUAUGAUUUUGAUGGGUCAUUAUCAUAUAUAGAGAGAAAAUCAAACAAUAGUACUCUACAUGUAAUUAGGAACACAUGAAAGAGCACAUCUGAGCUUGCUCUGCCAAGUGAAGAGUAAAUCUGAUGAGCCCUAAAUAUAGGACUUGGCAACGGAGAUCCCAAGGGGGCACAAUCAUAAAAAAGUGUAAAAUUUAUUAUGGGUUUUAAUUUAUAACUGCCAACAUCUUUUUGAUAGAAAGCUAUUAGCUGAGAUAUACGUUUUUUUGUCUUUAUGUUACGAGUGAGGCUCUUACACUUAAUUCUCUUUAUUAUGGGGGCGGGGCCGGGCCGGGCCUGCAGGCUGCACCUGGUCACGUUUAUUCUCUAUCAUCUCAUUUGUUUACGAAUAGCAUGUGCACCGAAAUAAAGAAAUGGUUUGGCUGGUGUGUGCCCAUGAGCACAUGCUAAACGCUAAAUUUGAUGUAUUAGCUUGUUUUGAUUGAUAGUAGGCACUCAAAAUGAGUUAAAUACAUGAAAUUUGGUGUUUAACAUGUGUAAUGGGCAUAUUUAAUGUAUAAAGUGAGUAUAGUAGAGUAAAUUAGUGGAUAUAGUAAUUUUCAUAUGGGUCUUUCUAGUAUGUGCCUACAUGGAGGAUUUUUAUUGGUGGAGAUUUUUGUGCAUGUAGUGGGGCGAUCAUUAUUUAUAAUGAGAUUAGAGCUAAUAGAAAUCAUUCACCAAAAUAAAAAGUAAAGUAGUUGUUACUUGUUAGUGUAUGCUCAUGGACAAAAUGACUAGCUAGUGACUAGUGUGUCCCCCAUGAGAUUAAACAUAAUUAUUAAUUAGUUAUUAAUAUAUUUCAAUUUUAACAAAUAUUAAGAUUAUUGUUCUGCUUAUGAGUUAUAUUGUAAAACAUAGUGUCGUGUGAUUUAUAAAAGUAAUUGUUCUAUCUUUUGAUUACAAUGUUUAUGUUGUUGAAUAUAAUCUCCAGGUUGUUGGAUGUGUACAAAUAUUGUAGAACAACAAAAAUUAAAAUUUAUAUGACUAGAUUAUAUUUUAACCAAUUUUGUACUCCAGUACUCUAAUAUGUUUGUGUUUGUGUAUUAUUGUACUCCAUAAAACUUGACUCAUAUAUAAAAAUGAUAAUAAUUUGAAUAUAAUAUGAAAGGGAAUAAACUAAAUUGAAUAAUAUAAUUAUAGAUAUGAGCCUUACAUAUAUUACCACUCGGGACACUCUACUGCAAGGACCAAAACUUUCAGUUGGCCUACUGAGUCAAAAUAGUUUUCAUUCAAAUAAUAAACCAUCUAAAAACUUUUAAUCACGAGAUUAAGUUAUAAAAAAAAAUCAGCGCCGUUAAGUCUUUGACAUUUAACGGAAAACGUUAAAUAUAACAGAUUUGCAAGUUUUUAACAAAUUAUAUGUUUUUAAGGCAGAGUUUACUGCGUAGAUGGCCAUCGGCCCUUCACCAGUUCCCGGUGUACUGCUAUUAUCAAUAUGACUCUAUUUGGUUUAAGAGCCAAAUGCUUCUGUUAAGUUUUUAACGGAAUGAUCUAUUUGAAAAUUUUUAAUAAUACAAUUAGUUGACUCAAAAUAUUUUUGACUCGAUAGGCCAACUGAAAGUUUUGGCUCAAUAGAGUGAUGAAAUAGAGUAUAUUACCACUAGAUUAUAAAGUAAUGUCCUAAUGUUCUGUAAUGUCAGAAAGGCCGACACAUAUCUAAAGUAAAAUGUGUCUCAAAACGGUGCUUAACACAUAUCUAAAACAAAAUAGCAUGUGUGUCACUCCACCUACUGUUAAGGUCGGAAUAUAUGAACCUAAAAUCUACAAAACUUAAAUUUAACAAGCUAACUUCUUUUAAAAUUGGCAAGAAUCUUACUCAUGAGAUACCUACCGUUCUUUUUUGAAGCUUAACAAGUUCACUAAAAUUCUUAGCUUACUCAUAAAAGGUAAGAUCUGGUCAUAUUUCUAACUUGAUUUUUUCUUUUUCCGGAAAGACAAAAAAGCAGGGAAUGAUAUCAAUGAAAUACUAGAAUGUCUAAUUAGGACUAAACAGAACGAGUUCUUACAUAGUGUAAUACUGAAUAGAUAGAUAGUAAUUCAAAUUUCAAAUAGUUUAUGCAGUCCAUCAAAUAAAAACAUAUGACUGAAUGAAUAUUGGGGAGAAAAAGAAAUUUAAGUAAGAAAGCGUAUUUGUUAAUUGUUGCAUUUUAUAAAUACUAUUUAUAACUUGUAGCUUAAUCUGACUGUAUGAAUAAACCUUGAUGCUUAAUUAUCUAACCACCCCAUUAGUAUUUGCAUCAUGUUUUAGUUGCAGGAGCUCCCGCAUGCACCUCCUCUAUGUUAUUAGAAGCAAAAACAUAUUCUUAAUGUCACUUUGAACGAUAAUGUUUAUAAGAUGAUGGGUUUGCCUAUACAGAAGUAAGAUGAAAAAAGUCAAGGAAAAGAAAAACUUCGAGAGGAAGGCUCGGAAUUAAUGAUCCUGAGGAAGAUGUAGACGUUGGAGUUCAUAGGAGAAAAAGAACGAGAAAGAAUAAAUUGCAACCUAACGUAUCUGGCCUAUAAGAGUACAUAAUCACAAACAAAAAUUUGUAGUUAGUAGAACAAAAGCAUUACAGAUUUAGCAGAAACAUAGACAUUUGUUUCUCAUUAAUUCAAAUAGCUGUUAAUUUUUAGAAGUUAAUCAAAUUUUAAAUUAUUAAUAGUGAUAUUAAACUGAGAAUAUAUGCACACUUAAGAGCCCUAAAAAAGCAUUAAAGAUAAAGCUUGGUGGUGGACCAACACUACAAGAAAAAUGCAUAAAAGCCACCACCUAAAUGCGGUGGCUUUUAGCUAAAAGCGACCGCAAGGGGUCGCUUUUCACUAAAAGCAACCGAAAAUAGGUGGUAGCUUCUAGGGGGUCGCUUUUCACUAAAAACGACCGAAAAUAGGUGGUAGCUUCUAAGGGAGUCGAUUUUUAAAAUAAUAAAUUUAUAACAUCCAAAUAUACAAUCAAAACUCAAAAUUGGGUCAAUUCGAGCUCUAGAAAACGGAUAACAAUAUCGUAUUCCGCUGAUCGGCUGAAAUAUAAACGAGGCCUUGUUGUGUUUGAUAAGCCCAAUAGUAUAAGGGCCCAAAGCCCCGUUGACCAAAAGACGUGAAUAAACAGAGAGCACGUGAAGGGAUAGUACUAGAAACCUCAGCCUGUAGAAAUCCAAUAAUCAUCAAACAAUAUAUCUCUGUACAAUCGUGAGGCAGAUUUUAGUGUGCCAGGUCCCCAAGAUAACUGCACGAUCACCACUUUACUGACAAUAGAGCAUCCACAGGGAAUGUUCGUUCCUUGCCGUCCAGCAUGGCUGCACAGAUAAAAGUCAAACUCAGUGGGAUAUGUAUGAUCAUACAACUGUCCCUCGCACUACAUUCCUUGGUGAGUUGCAGAGUACAUAUGCUUGUGACACUGAUUCCAGCACGCAACUGAUGCCUUUUCUUUAGUACAUUUUUGGAGCAUUUUCUUCAUUAUUUGCUGAAAUUAUGCCAUAUAUAUUUGAAUUCAGAGGAUGUCCACAAUAACAUCUGAAAUAAAACUUUAUAUUAAUCGAAAUAUAUAGUGCAGUCAAAGAUACUAUUGUUCCUAUGAUGCCAAACAUAAGAUAACUAGGCAUCCAAUUACCCGAGGAACUGGGUGCAAUUAAAUGAGUGAUAUAGAUUUUCAUAUAUAGCAUUAUUUAAGUGAAAUUUCACUAUUUAAGAAUAACAAAAUUAGUGUCGUAUUUCAGUAUGUUAAAAAGUAUUAGUGAGAUUAAUAGGUAAUUAAUUUUACUAAAUGUAAAUAUUAAUAAAAAAUUUCAAAUAUUAAAUCCUUACCAAUUUUUUUUUAAAUAUUGUACAAAUUUUACAUUCUUAAUUAACUAGUUAGAUUUUCUCUUACAAAAUUGUAGCAUUUUUAAAAUCACAUAGGAAUCUAGAAUCAUAUACGAACAAACGCCCCUAAUUAUCGUGAUCUAGGUAUCUGCUUGUAUCUAAAAUUUUAUAAUCACACAAAAUCCUUAUAAUUAAAAAGGGUAAAAAGUACAAACCAGAUCUGCUUGUAUCUAAAAUUUUAUAAUCACACAAGAUCCUUAUAAUUAAAAGUGGUAAAAAGUACAAACCAGAUCUGCUUGUAUCUGUUUGGGAUCUAAAAUUUUAUAAUCACACAAGAUCCUUAUAAUUAAAAGUAGUAAAAAGUACAAACCAGAUCUGUUUGUAUCUGUUUGGGAUCUGAUGGCGCAGGUGCUUGUUGGUAUGAAUUUACUUUGAGCAUCAUAAUAAACGCCCCUAAUUAUCGUGAUUUAGGUAUUUGCUUGUAUCUAAAAUUUUAUAAUCACAGAAAAUCCUUAUAAUUAAAAGUGUUAAAAGGUACAAACCAGAUCUGCUUGUAUCUAUUUGGGAUCUGAUGGCGCAGGUGCUUGUUGGUAUGAAUUUACUUUGAGCAUCACAACAAACGCCCCCUAAUUAUCGUGAUUUAGGUAUAUGCUUGUAUCUAAAAUUUUAUAAUCACAGAAAAUCCUUAUAAUUAAAAGUGGUAAAAAGUACAAACCAGAUCUGCUUGUAUCUGUUUGGGAUCUGAUGGCGCAGGUGCUUGUUUGUAUGAAAUUAUUUUGAGCAUCACAACAAACCCCCUAAUUAUCGUGAUCUAGGUAUGGAAGACAAGUCUUUUUCUUCUUUUUUGCGAUUCAAACAUAAAUAUAUUUAUGUGUGUGUGUGUGUAUAUAUAUUCACAAAUGAUAUAACAAAAAAAUCUAGUACAUAUACUAAAGAAUGUUGAUUUAAAUAAAUAAGCAACUCUUAUUAAGUUGGAAUUGCAAAGAAAAAUUUACUUCUUCGUAUUCAUUAUAUGGUGGCUGUAUGGAGAAAAUUGUGAAGGUUAUACCUCUCAUGUAAAACCUAUACUCUAUAUAUAGCACAUCAAUAUAUCUAGAAUGUUCCUCAAUUUGGGCUUUGGUCACAACUAGUGGGCCUGGAUUUGCCAUUUAAGGAUAUUCCAGAAAUUCAUAACAUUUUUAAUUUUGAACUAUUAUUUACUUUAAUUCAUUUUAUAAUAUUUUUUUAAGAUUUGAGGUUCUUCUCUCAUUUUGUGUAACAUUUUAGACUGACUUGGGCUUGAGAUAUUAUGGGCCUUCUUUUUUGGAUCUUAACUAGUUAAACAAGUAACUUGGAACUUUAACCUGUUAAAGAUAGUUUAAAUAAGUGAAAUGCUUUACUUUCAUUUUCCACUUCCAAUAAAUAUAUAAAAUUUAAAUAUAUACUUUUCUCCAUCUUUCAACUCACUAGCUACGACAUCCCCUCAUCCCCAUCCACUUAUCUACUCCAUCAUCAUCUUUCUUUUUCUCGAUUCAUCGAAACUGUUUCCUUCAUCCCGACGACCUCUCCAUGUAUAUUUUCUUCCCCCAUCUUCUUACAUCUCUCUCUUCGUCGAUAUGAUUCAAAUACAAAAUACUCAUACAUCUUAUAGUUUUAUCAUAUCUUCGGUAAAAUGGAUAUGGUAAUAUGAGAUGUGAGCCGCUCGGAUCCGUAAUAAAAGACUAUGGUAGUUAAAUCGUUUGUGGAAGAGAGAGAAACUACUGUGGUAGGUGAACUACGUGUGGAGGAGAUAAAAAUCGUUGUUGUAAUUAAGUCACUAGCGUAGGAGAGAGGUCAUGUCGUGGUAGUUGGAUAGGGGGAAGAAAUUAAGAGAAAGCACUUAAAGCGGAAGAAACUCCUGCAAAAUUUUAUGAUUUAUAUCAUAAAAGUUAGUGAUGUGCCUAAUACAUGUUACUGAUUUCUUUGGUGCAUAUUGGUGUUAUAGAUUAAAUUUGAUAAUUUAUCAAAAAUAAUAGAACAAAAUCAACUGAAUUUUUGAUCUAGAUGUUACUUGUGGAAAGAUGAGAUAAUAAUAGAGAUAUGAAGUGGUUCUCACUAUAAUUAUACAGAUAACAUUGAUAAUAUUGUAUAUAGCUAAUAUAUAAAUAUGUUAUAAGAAUCAAAAGGAUUUCAUUAGAGUAAGACUAUAUAUAUUAUAUAUAUAUAAUGUUUCUUGAAUGUGCAUAUAUUAUGUAAGCGCUUUACGAUUGUUAGAUUUCUUUGUUAGAUAUGCAAUAAUCAAUCCCGCCUUUCAUGGUAAAGACAUAAGUUAAUUAAAUCAACUUAUCUCUACGAGAAUGCUCACUAUUAACUAUAGAAAGAGCAAUGAUGAUGUUUUGGAUCCACUAAUCAUAUAGCUAACCAAAAGAAUUCUUUUAAACUGAGAAAAUCAGGUUAAAUAUAGUGAUAACUAUAAAGAUAUGAAGAGCUAUGGGCUUAACCUAUUGGUUAACAUCGUUUUGGUAUACACUUAAUUUUAUUGACUAGAAAUUCUAAAAACUUGAUUGAAUGAGCCAACUAAAUCAUGAUAUAUUCAUAUCACUAAUAAGUCUAUAAGAUAAAGACCAUCUAUGUGGAAGAGGAGCGGGACUUCUUCAAUGAAAAAUUAUAAUGAAAAUUCUUUAUAAACUCUAUAGCAUGUAUUAUGUUCCAUGGCUAUAUACACAUAUUCAUGAAAAGUACUGAAUGAGCUAGUAUAGAUAUAAUGAUGAAGAUCAUUUACCAAAUAGUCAAAGAAUUCAAGUACAUCACGUCUAUAUCUAUGUGUAAAGUUGGUAUAUAUACUUACUCUAUAAAAGGUUCAAGAAGCAUUUCUUAUCAAUCAUAUACUAUUUCUCGCCACCGGGACUAAUACCAAGUCAAAGCCAUUGGAGCAUCAAUCUCGUUUGUGAGGGAUUUGUGAAAUUGUUUAGUGUGUGUGUAUAUAUAUAUAUAUAUAUAUAUAUAUAUAUAUAUAUAUAUAUAUAUAAUACUAAUGUUCCGAUGUUGACCGUUAGUAGUACUUAAUUAUCUUACAACUUCAGUCUCUUUUUUUAAAUAGAGUCUUAUAUAUGUGUGUGUGUAUAUAUAUAUAUAUAUAUAUAUAUAUAUUAUCUUACAACUUCAGUCUCUUUUUUUAAAUAGAGUCUUGGCUCAUUAAUUUUAUUAAGUCCAAAAAUUUAUAUAUAGUCAACUCUGUUAUUUGAUCUCCUUAGUUUAAAUCCUUCAUACAUCUCGUUGCUAAUUAGUUAUAGUAAGAAGUUAUAGUAAAACCAUGUCAGGGAGAGCAAUCACGGUUUCUAAAAUCAUUGCACACCCAUCCAUACCGUAUGUAUGAUAUUAUAAUAAAAAACCGGGAUUGUGGUGAGAAAAAUUACAAAAACUAGUAACUAAAAUAGGGUAACAACCAAAAUACCAGUGGCGGACUCACGUGUACGCACUGGGGGGCUGGCCCCCCAGUCACUUGCCAGCCACAGCUUAUAUAUUUUAUAGAGUUACAUGCGUGCCCCCAUUAAAAACUGUAUAGGCCCCCAGUAAUUAAAAGUGAAAGCCUGAUUUGUGUUCAACUUAAACAAGCCCAAACCCAAAUAUUAGUCCGGUCCAGAAGUAAAUUCAAAGUAACAGAGCAAGCCAGCAACGUAGGUAAAAAACACAAUCACCUAAUUCGAAGAAUCACAGAGCUACGGAGGGUGAAAAGUAAAAAGGAGAGAAUUAAAAGAAAACUACCUUGAAGCUACUGAUUAAUUCGGGUCAUCGGCUUCUAAUAUUCGGUAAGUUCUUUUUCAAUAAAUAUAUAUUCUCUUUUUAUGUAUAUAUAGUGUCUGUAUGCGUGUAAAAUUUGAUUAGUGUUUUUUAUUAUUUUUUAAAUUUUAGUGAAUAUUUAUGUGUGUCUAGUUUUUUUGUGUGAAAUUCUGAGUAUAUUCACUCAAUUAUUUGACAAAUAACAGAUAUUAUGGAAAGAUAUUUCAAAAGAAAGUUGCCCGAAAUCAUAGAUGACACUAAUAAUUUGAGGGAAGAAGCCAUAAGAGCAAAUGUUAAUAUUGUUGAGCCAAGUCCUGUAAUGCCUAAAAAAAUUGACUUGAAAGACCUUCCGUGGGAUCCCUCUGAAAGAAAAAGAAUUAUAGAAUAUCAUCCGGAUCAAAGAGAUGAAAUAAGGAGAGCAUAUUUGAUUAAAGGACCUUGUCAACCACUUGGGCAUGAAUUUCCAAAAACGAAAAUUGGAAAUAAAGAUAGGCGUUUUAAUCCCGAGUGGUAUGAAAAUGAAAAAUAUAAGAAUUGGUUGGAGUAUAGUGUAAAAGCCGAUAAAGCUUAUUGUUUGUGUUGUUACUUAUUCAGAGACCAUUUUGGAAGACAGGGUGGGAGUGAUGCAUUUGUAGUAGAUGGAUUUUGUGGUUGGAAUAAAACGGAGAGACUUGGAAGUCAUAUCGGGGAAGUUAAUAGUUUUCAUAACAGAGCCUUUAAAAAAUGUGAUGAUCUUCUAACACAAAAACAGUCCAUUGCCGUUGCUUUUCAUAAGCAAAGUGAUAUUGUCAAGAAUGAACAUCGAAUUCGUUUGAAUGCUUCCAUUGAUGUUUCCAGAUUUUUGCUAAAUAGCGCAUUACCUUUUCGUGGUCAUGAUGAGUCUGAAAAGUCACUACAUAGAGGAAAUUUCUUGGAAAUGAUAAAAUAUACUCAAGAUCAAAAUGAGAGAGUUCGUAAAGUUACACUGAAAAAUGCUCCCGGGAAUAAUCAAAUGGUGUCUCCGAAAAUUCAAAAAGAUAUUUGUCAUUGUUUUGCACAAGAGAUUCUCAAAUCCAUUAUGAAAGAAAUUGGUGAUGAUGUGUUUGCUUUGUUAGUUGAUGAGUCUAGUGAUAUUUCUAGAAAGGAACAAAUGGCUGUGGUUUUACGAUAUGUUGAUGACACGUUAGGAAUUGUGAAGGAGAGAUUUGUGGGUCUUGUUCAUGUGAAAGAGACAUCUUCUUUAACUCUUAAAUCUGCUAUUGAUAGUUUAUUUGCUGAGUUUGGUUUGAGCUUAAGACAGGUGAGAGGGCAGGGUUAUGAUGGUGCAAGUAACAUGCGUGGUCAGUUUAAUGGGUUGAAAACAUUAAUCAUGAGAGAAAACAGCUCGGCAUAUUAUGUACAUUGUUUUGCUCACCAGCUUCAGUUGGUUGUUGUGGCGGUUGCGAAAAAACAUUUUGCUGUUGGUGACUUUUUUGAUAUGAUAGCGGUCUUGAUGAAUGUGGUUGGUGGUUCUUGCAAAAGGACUGAUAUGCUUCGAGAUAGUCAAAAAGAGAGGUUGUUAAAGGAGAUGGGUCGUGGUGAACUUGAAACAGGAAGUGGGUUGAAUCAAGAACUUUCCCUUGCCAGAGCCGGAGAUACACGUUGGAGUUCACAUUAUAAAACACUUCUGCGUUUGGUUGAUUUGUAUCCAAGUGUGAUUGAGGUGCUUAAAUAUAUUGAAAAAGAGGGAGAAAAAGAUGUGCAACAACGUCAAGCAAGUGGUCUUCAAAUAUAUUUCACAUCAUUUGAGUUUGUAUUCUAUUUGCAUUUGAUGUUGUAUAUUUUGGGGCUCACAGAUAUAUUAUCACAGGCAUUGCAAAGAAAAGAUCAAGAUAUAUUGAAUGCUAUAUCAUUAGUGGAGUCAACUAAGCGACAAUUACAAAAUUUCAGAGUUGAUGGGUGGGAUUCUCAUUUGAAGAAGGUAUUUUAUUUUUGUGAGAAGUAUGACAUUGAAAAGUUGGAUAUGACCGAGCCUUAUGUUAAUCCAAAAAAUCGACGGAGAAAAACUGGAAUCACCAAUGAGCAUUAUUAUUCUUUUGAUUGUUUCAAUGUUGUUGUGGAUAUGCAAAUUGCAGAGUUUAACGACCGUUUUAAUGAGGUAAACUCUGAAUUGCUCAUUUGUAUGGCUUCUUUGAAUCCACGUGAUUCAUUUGGUGAUUUUGAUCCAUUGAAGUUGAUGAAGUUAACUGAGUUUUAUCCAAAUGAUUUUAGUCCUACUGACACGAUUGCUCUUGAGCAUGAAUUGAUGAUUUAUAUUGAUAAUGUGAAAGCAGAUGGAAGAUUUUCCAACUUGAAUGGUAUUAGUGAUCUUGCUAGAGUAAUGGUUGAAACGAAAAAAAAUCAUUGUUAUUCUUUGGUGUAUCGGCUAGUGAAGCUAUCAUUGGUUUUGCCAGUUGCAACCGCGACAGUUGAGAGAUGUUUCUCUUCAAUGAAGCUUGUGAAGUCAGAUUUGCGCAAUCGAAUUGGUGAUGAAUUUCUAAACGAUUGUCUUAUUUCAGCCAUAGAAAAGGAAGCUCUUGCUAGAGUAACAAAUGAAGAUGUAAUAGAUCGAUUUCAAAAAAUGAAAACUCGAAGGGAGCAAAUUUAAAUUGUAAGUUAUUUCUCUUUUUCUUUAUAGUAUUACACAUAUUUUAUUAGUUCUCUUAUUAUUUAAAUAUUGUGCCCCCACUGAACUUUAAUCCUGGGUCCGCCCCUGCAAAAUACUAGAAUUCCCCUUAUAAUAAUCUUAAGAAUCACUUAAUUACUCAUAACACAUGAAGCAGUCGAAUACUAUUCCAGAGGUAUAUAACUAAAGUUCUCUUUCAAGCUCAAUAGUCUAUUAACUAAAAUUUUUAGCUUACUCUUCUAAGGUGGGGAUCAUGAUCAUUUUUAUGAAUUGAUAUAGAAAGGCUGAAAUAAAAUUUCAAUAAUCACGUAGACUAAAAAAGAAGAAUGAUAUUAAUGAAAUAAUAGACUAUCUAUCUUAUUAGGAAUAAAUGAAACAAGUAUUUGAAAAAAAUACAUAAUGUUACAUUAAAUAGAUAAAAUAAUGAUUCAGAUUUUAAAUAGUUUAUGAAAUCCACCAAAUGAAAACGUACAAGUUAAUUGUUGCAUUAUAUAAAUACAAUCUACUUGCAGCUUAAUGUGAUAGUAUGAGUAAAACUUGUAACUUACACUAAUUAAAUUAUUAAUUGUUGUAUCAUGUUUUUUUUGAAAGUGAAUUGUUGUAUCAUGUUGAAACUUAAUGAUUUGUUAAAAAUUAUUAAUAUGUUAAAUUAUUAAUGUUAAAAAUGAUUUAUUAAAUUUUUUUGAAGAUAAAUUGACACAAAAAAUAAACGGUUCAUUAUGGCAUUACGUGAAAAUCAUUGAUCAUAUAUGUGUGUAUGUUGUGUAUAUAUGUAUGUCUAUACUUAUAUGUGAGAGAUAUGUUAUAUAUUAAAUAGUAAUUUGUGAUGUAUAAAAUAGUUAGUGAUUAAAAAUUGGUGAGGGACUGAUUUUUAUUUUGUAGGUUAGUUUGUAUAGGCCGCAGCCUCGGUGGCCACAGUGGUGGGCCAUGGCACCAAAAGGGUCGGGGCUGACAGUAUAUGUGGGUUGGUUUGGUGGGAGUGGAUGUGGAUAAGUGACAGUAUAUGAGUGUAGGUGAGGAAGUGGCUGGUUAUGAAAGAAAUUUUUGGUUUUUAUUCAAUUUUAUUUUUAUUAUAUAUAUAUAUAUAUAUAUAUAUAAAAUAUUUGAUAUAUUUUUUCAAAAUACAUAUUUAUAAUUUUAACAUAUAAUUAGAUUUAAAAUUUUCAAACAUGUGAUGCCAUAAUUUAUUUUAGAAAAAUCUAUUUUCCUUCAUCUUACAUUUUAAAGAAAAGUUAUUUUGCUUGCUAACUAGAUAAAAUUUGUAUUUAUAUAUAAUAAUACGUUAUUUUCUUAUUGGCAUGUGUAAAUAAUUUUAGUAAGUGUAAAUAAAUGUUUCCUUAUUAAAAAAAACCCUACACUAAGAAGUAUGAGAGCACAAAUUAUAAUAAAGGAAUUAUUUUAUAUUUUUUUGAUCUUUGAAAAUACAAUAAAUUAUUCAAAUAAAAUAAUUAUACAAGCAAACUGAUUAAAUGAGGGUAAUUGUCAAGAAAUUAUUGAUUAAGAUAAAUGAUAAUGUAUAGAGUUCAAGAAGUAUUUGUUGAAUGUGGAUAUAUUAUAUUGAUCAAUUUGAUAAAAUAUACUAUUCCCCACAUUUUGUUAAAUAUAAUAUAAUUUUGGCUAUAAAAUAAAAGAAGUGUGUGGGUGAUUCUAGAUUAUUCUUAGUACAUGCAUUUGUUUUUAAUUUUGAAUGCAUGUAUUAGUCCAGAUGCAUAAUCUCUAGAAUAUUCCCGUCUUUUGCUUUCUAGCAUUUAAUUAGUCUCUAGAUCUUUCUAUUGAGUCCUAUAUAAAGCCUCUUGUACCAAAUCAUUUGUCAUCAACUAAGGUAAAGCAAUUCAUUAUAUAUAAAUUUCUCUUUUCCUAAAUAUCUGAGUUGUGGGAGUUUUAGUGAAAACCUUUCUUCCUCCAUCCAACACAUUUUUAGCCCACAUCCCCGUUCUAAGUCUAUUCUAGUUUUGUCCUUCUCCUUAGAUUUCCUAGAUUAAAUUUAAUUAGCAAUGGUGAUCUAUGUAUGCCUAUGUGUUUAAUUCCCUUGAUAAAAGAUGGUGCCAUGUAAGUUCAAGAGUUCUAAUUUAAUUGUGAGGAUAAUAUUAUCUAACCAUUUUGAUUUGAUGGGUAAUCGUUAUUUAAUCUUCUUUUACUUAUAAAUUAUAGGGUUUUGGCAUUCGAGAUUGUUCUUGGUACAUCUGUAAAAGCCCCAGAAGGAAGCCUGUUACACCGGCAGGCGAAGCUGGUACACUUGGGGGGAAAAAUUGAUGGAUUAUUGUUGACUAAUUGAUGUUUGAUGGAUUAUUCUAUUAUUGAGCUAGGCUCCUUGCCGAGUACUUUGGGAAAAAGGUAAUGCUGGCACUUGUUUGCCAGACUUUUGACGGGGUUAAAGCUCUGGAGGCAUAUGAUGAAGGUGGUGUUAUAAAUAGAAAUUCUGGUCUUCAUGGAAUUGUAUCCUGGGUCACGAACUCUGGCCAUGGCCUUAGAGAGACUCUCUUCUAUCAUCUAUUCUCGCUCCUGCAAGUUUAUAGAACUAUGAAAAAUAUGUAUAAGGCCCUCCCAUUCAUAAGAGAUGGAGCUGUAUCUUUUGGAUGGUGGAAUAAUGAGAUCAAAAUUUCCUCUUAGCAGCAUAGCCAUUGUGACAACUUUAAUUGUACAUUCACAUUUCUUCUGUUGCAACCGUACAAUUUCUUGGAACAAGUUUAUAUGAUUAGCAAAGAAUUCUUUAAUAGAAGUUAUUAUUUGUUAGUAGGAUAUAUAUUACUCAUAUUACUCAUAUAAUAAAUAUGCAAAUAAGGCACUCGGAUAUGAAAGUAUUAAUUCAAUAACAAAAUUAAAACGUCAAACUAAAAUUAAAAGAAUAAAAGAGAAGGAAAAUUCUUGUGAAACAAACACCAACGAAUGAGUUUGAUUCUUUUCUUUCCUUUGUCGGUUAUGGGCAAUGUUUUAGUAAAUUGCAUUUGAUAUACAAAUAGCAUAAAACAAAAUUUUGUGCUAAUUUUUUUUUAUUUUAGACCACUAUUAAAUCUAUCAACAAUAAACAGCCACCAUAUCUGUAUGUAUUUUGUUUCUAAUAUAUAGUAUUAAAAAAUGUAAAUUGGAAUCUUAUAGAAGCUAACAAUAAAAAAAAAAAUUUGGUUUCACGAUCAAAAUAAUAUAAGUUAAAUAAUUCAAGAUCAUUCAUUAACUUUCUCCUAAUUUUAAUUUGUGAAUUUUAUUUGAUUUUCAAGCAUAAACAAACCAUCCCUACAUAUAAUAAUCAUUAUAAAUUUACUAAUUCUAAUAAAUUUUUGAAUGAUAAGUUUGUAAAUUAUUUUGUUAUACUAAUCGAGACUUGAACUAUUAUAUUAAUACUAAAAAGCUUUAGAGAAGACAAAUUGACUCAAAAAUAAUAUAUUAAUUUGUGAAAUUUUUUCUCACUAUAAAAUUUGUUCAUAUUAAUAAGUAAUAAUGUGCUUCCUACAUAUUUAUUAGCUAAUUAAUAAUUUAAUUAUAAUAAGAUGAAAUAUAUUUUACUCGAAUAAAAGAUCAUUUUGUGUUCUCUUAAAAAAGAUUGUGUCCAAAAUUUUAUUUAUUCAAAUUAUUAUAAAUAUGAUAAAUUUGAUUAAUUGUUAUACACAUUUAUCAAUAAAAUUUAUUUUAAUGUUGUGUUUAUCAUAAAUUAAUAUUGAUCAUGUACAAAUUAAGUUCAAAAGUUAAGAUACAUAUUUUACGUUCUCCAACAAUAAGUAUUCAUUUUGCAUUAAAUGAGAAAGUCAAGUUAAACAAUUUGCAUUAGGUAAAUCACAAUUUACAUCAGGAGGAUCUUCGGAUAGGUAUAUUACAUUUCACUCAAAUAUAUUGGGCAUGUUAAAUUUGGCUUUGUAAUGAGUUCUACAUUUCCCUAUUUCUUUAAACGAAUCUGCACCAACAACAAACCAACAACAGAACAGAGAAGAAAAGGAAACCAGAUCUGCAGCAGAUCAGGUGACAGAGUUUGGAGGGCAUGGUAUAGUCUUCCUAAUGAACUCCUCCUUUUUGGGGAAUCAUAAGCCUAAAAAAAGGCCUUAUGAGCACUAACAUUUUUUCCCUCAAAACAAAGAUUUAGUAAUGUACCAAGAACAACCCCAAUAAUACCUGUCAGACAAACAAUUAAUUAGAAGCCAUUAGGAUUUUAAAAACAUAAUUAAUUACUUGUAUUCAAUUUGGAGGCAAACACUAACCACAGUUACACAAACGACACAAGCAUCAAUUUCUUCCGGGUCUGAAUUUCCAGAUGGAUCAGCAUUGCUACAAUGAUCUGAUCCACAACUCUGGAUUAAAGUACUAUGAUUUUGAUGGGUCAUCAGUAUCAUAUACAGAGAGAAAAUCAGAAAAUAGUACUCUACAUGUUAGGAACACAUGAAAGAGCACAUCUGAGCUUGCUCUGCCAAGUGAAGAGUUAAUAUGAUGAGCCCUAAAUAUAGGACUUGGCAACGGAGAUCCCAAGGGGGCCAAUCAUAAAAAAGUGAAAUUUAUUAUCGGUUUUAAUUUAUAACUGCCAACUUCUUUUUGAUAGAAAACUAUUAGCUGAGAUAUACAUUCUUUUUGUCUUUAUGUUAAGAGUGAGGCUCUUACAUUUAAUUCUCUUUAUUAUGGGGGCCGGGCCUAGAGGCUGCACCUAGUCACGUUUAUUCUCUAUCACUCUCUCAUUUUUUUUCGAAUAGCAUGUGCACCUAAAUAAAGAUAUGGUUUGGCUGGUGUGUGCCCAUGAGCACAUGCUAAACUCUAAAUUUGAUGUAUUAGCUUGUUUUAAUUGAUAGAGCUUUUGUAUAUGCAAGGGGUCCACCAUUAUUAAUAAGUAGUACUAGGCACUCAAAAUGAGUUAAAUACAUGAAAUUUGGUGUUUAACAUGUGUCAUGGGCAUAUUAAUUUAAUGUAUAAAAUGAGUAUAGUAGAGUAAAUUAGUGGAUAUAGUAAUUUUCAUAUGGGUCUUUCUAGUAUGUGCCUACAUGGAGGAUUUUUAUUGGUGGGGAUUUUUGUGCAUGUAGUGGGGCGAUCAUUAUUUAUAAUGAGAUUAGAGCUAAUAGAAAUCAUUCACCAAAAUAAAAAGUAAAGUAGUUGUUAGUGUAUGCUCAUGGACAAAAUGAUGAUGACUAGCUAGUGACUAGUGUGUCCCCCAUGAGAUUAAACAUAAUUAUCAAUUAGUUAUUAAUAUAUUUCAAUUUUUAAGAUUAUUGUUCUGAUGAGUUAUAAUGGAGACCAUAUUGUCCUAUGAUUUAUAAAAGUAAUUGUUCUAUCUUUUGAUUACAAUGUUUAUGUUGUUGAAUAUAAUCUGCAGGUUGUUGAAUGUGUACAAAUAUUCUAGAAUAACAAAAACUAAAAUUUAAAUGACUAUAUUAUAUUUUAACCAAUUUUGUACUCCACUACUCUAAUAUGUUUGUGUACUCCAUAAAACUUGACUCAUAUAUAAUUAAUGAUAAUAAUUUGAAUAUAAUAUGAAAGGGAAUAGACUAAAUUGAAUAAUAUAAUUAUAGAUAUGAGCCUUACAUAUAUUACCACUAGGGUCAUUCUACUGACCAAAACUUUCAAUUGGCCUCCCGAGUCAAAAAAGUUUUCAUUUAAAUAAUAAACCAUCUAAAAACUUUUAAUCACGAAAUUAAGUUAUAAAAAAAAAUCAGCGCCGUUAAGUCUUUGACUUUUAACGGAAAACCUUAAAUAUAACGGAUUUGCAUGUUUUUAACAGAUUAUAUGUUUUUAAGGCAGAGUUUACUUCGGCCCUUCACCAGUUCCCCGUGUACUGCUAUUAUCAAUGCUGCUAGAUACAGUAAAGACAAGUCUGCAAGUUUUGGAAGGAGAGGGGCGACCUACAAUUGGACAAACUGUAAAGAAUUAGCUGGUGAAGGAAGGCGGAUUGGGUGCUUGUUAUAGAUGUUUGGGGCCGAGGUGGGCUUCGAUGCCUCUUUCCGCAACCACCAUGCAUGAUCACUACUUGUNUUCACUACUUAUGAGUUUCUAAAGAAAAUGUCUACGAAGGAUCAAGAGGUGUUUGCUUAACUAAAUUUUGGCGGAGAAGAUACGAAAGGGAAAAAAUUUAGAAUGUUGCAAAUCAUCUACACACUUGUAUAACUUGGUUUCUUGUCAUGUGUUGAUGACCUUCCUCUAUGAAUACCGAUGUAAGUUGUACUUAAGGUUUACUUUUAAUGAAUAAGAAUAACAUGAAAAUCAAAUUACAAUAUUGUCCAACAUUGUACAAGUAGUUCAGCCUUGGUCAGGCUGUUUGUUGUAUAUGAAUGAUAUAUAUACAUUGUUGAAGUGUGUAAAUGUGUAGGUUCUAGGGGACAUCUACUACCUGGUAUAUACAAGAGUCGGAUUCAGGGUACAAAUGUUGAGUAAUAUGACUCUAUUUGGUUUAAGAGGCAAAUGCUCCUGUUAAGUUUUUAACGGAAUGACCUAUUUGAAAAUUUUUAAUAAUACAAUUAGUUGACUCAAAAAAAUUUUGACUCGGUAGGUCAGGCUCAGUAGAGUGAUGAAAUAGAGCAUUAACCCUAUUACCACUAGACUAUAAAGUAAUGUCCUAAUGUUCUGUAAUGUCAGAAAGGCUGACACAUAUCUAAAGUAAAAUGUGUCUCAAAAUUAUGGUGCUUAACAUAUAUCUAAAACAAAAUAGCAUGUGUGUCACUCCACCUACCCUUAAGGUCGGAAUAUAUGAACCUAAAAUUUACAAAACUUAAAUUUAACAAGCUAACUUCUUUUAAAAUUGGCAAGAAUCUUACUCAUGAGAUACCUACUGUCUUUUUGAAGCUUAACAAGUUAACUAAAAUUCUUAGCUUACUCAUAAAAGGUAAGAUCUGGUCAUAUUUCUAACUUGAUUUUCUUUUUCCGGAAAGACAAAAAAGAAGGGAAUGAUAUCUAUGAAAUACUAGAAUGUCUAAUUAGGACUAAAGAGAACGAGUUCUUACAUAGUGCAAUACUGAAUAGAUAGAUAGUAAUUCAAAUUUCAAAUAGUUCAUGCAGUCCAUCAAAUAAAAACAUAGGAGUGAAUGAAUAUUGGGGAGAAAAAGAAAUUUAAGUUAGAAAGCGUAUUUGUUAAUUGUUGCAUUUUAUAAAUACUAUUUAUAACUUGUAGCUUAAUCUGACUGUAUGAAUAAACCUUGAUGCUUAACUUAAUCUAACCACCCCAUUAGUAUUUGCAUCAUGUUUUAGUUGCAGGAGCUCCCGCAUGCACCUCCUCUAUGUUAUUAGAAACAAAAACAUUUUCUUAAUGUCACUUUGAACGAUAAUGUUUAUAAGAUGAUGGGUUUGCCUACACAGAAGUAAGAUGAAAAAAGUCAAGGAAAAGAAAAAGUUCGAGAGGAAGGCUCGGAAGUAUCCUGAGGAAGAUGUAGACGUUGGAGUUCAUAGUAGAAAAAGAACGAGAAAGAAUAAUUUGCAACCUAACGUAUCUCGCCGAUAAGAGUACAUAAUCACGAACAAAAAAUUGUAGUUAGUAGAACAAAAGCAUUACAAAUUCAGCAGAAACAUAGACAUUUAUUUCUCAUUAAUUCAAAUAGCUGUUAAUUUUUAGAAGUUAAUCUAAUUUUAAAUUAUUGAUACUGAUAUUAAACUGAGAAUAUAUGUACACUUGAGAGCCCUAAAAAGCAUUAAAGAUGAAGCUUCGUGGUGGACCAACAACUCGUUCACGAUCCAAUACUGUAAGUAACUGCCUGCGAGAAGGAAGAAACAAACUCAAUUCUCGUUUAGACCCCUGCACCAGUGAAGUUGCUACAGAGUGAAUGACUAUGAUCAAUGGCUGCUUAAUUAUUUGACCAUGCCGUCAAAAAAAAUUAGAUGCUCAGAAGAAAGCUAUAUAUAACUGCUGGUCCAAGUAAAACUGCAAAUGAGCCGGCUGAUGGAGAGAAUGACUUGCCUAAUUGGAGAUGCAGUUGAAAAGAUUAGGCCAUGUUGACUUGUAGAAAGGUUUUCCAAUUUAAGUGUUCAAAUUGCCUUGGUUUUCUAUUUCGUAAAUGUAGAGAUAGAAUGGUAUACAUAUUCAAAUUGGUUAGAUUUCCGUGUAUGGCUGAGCUUUAUAACCUGAUUUUAUGAUUUAAAGUGAUAGGUUAGCGAUGUAAAGUGUGGGUUUGGAUAAUUUUGACUUUGACUUGUGAGUUAUUAAUAAUAUGAUAAUAAAAAUAAGAAUGAUUUACGGAUAACUUAUAUCUUUUUUAUCAAAAAUUUUUUUAACAAUUAACUCGCCUUAAAAUGUACCUCAAACUAAUUAUACCAAGUCCUUAGCUAAUUUCAUUGUUAAAAUCAAGUAGGAUAAGUUAUGUAUUUGAAUUAUGAUAUUAAUUUUUAUUGUAUAAACUCAUAUAAAUAAAAUAAGUUGUUAGAAAUAUCUCUUAUCAACGCUAAGGGGGCCUUUCAGAAUUAAAACCCAUGCCUUUUCCCAAAUCCAAACUAACUCCUGCUCUACCUACUUUUUGACAUCGGUCGGCCAGUUCGCCACCACCAAGGUAGAUAAGGUCAGGGAAUAUGCACAUGUUAAUUACUGUUAAUUUUAUGAAUAGUUUCACGUUCUUUUAGAAUUAAAUUGGUAUAUAUAGCAUAAUUAAGGGUAUCAAUGUCAGUUAGAUGAUCAGAAGCAUGUUUUGAUUGAAUUUUUUAAUCUUUUUAGUACUAAAUUUGAAUAAAUUAAAUAUAACUUCUGUCCAUAUAAGGCAUAUUGAUGUUACAUGUGCUUUUUUUUCCAGGGUUUCCAAGCACUCCGGAGCGCAUGCACAUAAUAACAGCUUAUUUUUUAUGAUAUUCAAGAUUAUUAAUGUUAAAAUAAUAUUUUAUUUUGUAAAUAAGUGAAUAAUUAUAUUUUAAUUUUUUUUAGCAUUUUCUAAUAAUAAUUAUAUAGAUAUGCGAAUAUUUUUAUAUAUAAUAAAUACAGAUAUUUUUUAGUCAAUUAUGACGAUGAGAAAGGACAAAACAGUAAACUUAUACUAAGUAGGAUAAGCCAUCUCGAAAAAUAUACACCAGAUAAUUUAUAUUUAUAAAUCAUCAUGUGUUAUUUUUAUUAUUUGUAUUAAAUAAUUUCAAUAAGUGUAAGGAAAUGUUUCCUAACUAAAAACCUCUUUAUUAAAAAAAUAUGAGAGCACAAAUUAUUUAAAAGAACAAUUUUUUUAUAUUUUUCAUCAUCUUUGAGAAUAUGAAAAAUUAGUUAAAUAAAAUAAUUAUAUAAAUGAAGUAAUUAAAUGACGGUAAUUGUUAGGGAUUUUUGUUCAAAAAUGAUAAUGUAUAAGGAGCUCAAGAAGUAAUUUUUGAAUAUAUGUUUGUUAUAUUAAUCAAUUCCAUAAAAUAUAAUUCUUCUAGAUUUCUACUUGCCAUUCUCCCCUUGGUUUCUCCGCCUCCUUGUCCUUGGUUUCUCCGCCUCCCUAUCUUUCCUUGUUUUUAACGUCUUCCCUUGUUUUGUCCGCCUCCUUAUAUUUCCUCAGUUUCUUCGCCUCCCCUUGGUUUCUCUCCUGUAUAUAAACUUUCACACUCAGACACACACACUUAUAAUCAUAAGAAGAAUGUGCAUGAGCACUAAAGCGUGCCUGUAAAUAGGUUAGCAUUGAAAUGAUUUGGCGAUUAAAUUUUAACAAUGGAGACCGAUGUAUGCAUAUGUGUUUCCCUUGAUAUAAGUUGGUGCCAUGUAAGUAGAAUAGUUCUGAUUUAAUUAUUACGUGGAUGUUAUUUCACCAUUUUGAUUUGAUGGGUAUUCUUUAUUUAAUCUUCUACUCAAAAUUUUUAGGGUAUUCGAGGUUGUUCUUGGUACAUUACUACAAGGCAAAUGAAGCCCCUUACCCCAGCAGGCCAACCUGGUACACUUGUGGGGAGUACUAGGCCCUGAAGGCAAAGGGGUAGCCUGUGGCUGAAGAAGAGCCAGGCAUUGAUGUGGACACAUCUCAAGGUGUCCUCAGACCUGGAGAGAGAGCCAUUCCAGACACACAACCUCGGCCAGGACAUCACCUCUCUGCUUAUGCUAGAGCAGGAAGGUAGCAUAUUGAUAUUUGUUAAUAUUCUUCUUUGCCAUAUGAUCAGCUUCCAUUUUUAAGUAGUAAUAUAAUCAUUGGUGUUGUAUAGCAGGAACCUAUACACAAGAUCUUAAUUGUCCAAUAGAAUAUUUGUCCAGCGCAUUGCUAGGUUAAUUGAUGGGGUCUUUAGAUUUCUUGUUGGUCGAAUUACAGUUUUCAUAUGCUUUAAACCAUGAACUAUCAGUUUAAAAUGAAUUUUAGUUCUUUUAUUAUUAUUAUUAAAUUUGUGGUUUUGGUUGUGUGUGUGUGUUAUAUAUAUAUAUAUAUAUAUAUAUAUAUAUAUAUAUAUGUGUGUGUGUGUGUGUGUGUGUGUUGAUUUUUUUAUGUAUUACAUACCUCCACAUAAUAAAAGUACAAAUAUGAAUUAAUUAUUUGAUUUGUGAUCCAUAAUUGAGUGGCUAAUAUUAUGUCUCAAUGGAUUAUUACAGGUGAUGUGAAGAUAUAUGGGUUCGUGGAAGAACCUUUGGAUGAUGAUAUAUAGGACGAGAGGAGGUGUCUGAUGCGGUGGUAGAGUAACAAACCAAAAAGGACAAUGCAAACGCAAAAAAUUUAUUACUUGUUCUAAAAUUAAAAACAAUUUAGUGACAUGUAAUUUUGUAUCCAUCAAAUAGAUGUUUUUAUUAUUAAAAUAGGUCUUAUCUAUGACUUUAUCUGUAAAUUGCAUCUAAUGAGUCUAUCAACGGUGAACAUGCAUCUCUAAUGAUGGAAUGAAUCGUCAAAACAUUACAAAUUUAAUAUCUAAACAUUUUAAAUAUCUUUACCCUUUAAAGACCCAGUCUUAGUUUUGUGUGCAUUUUUUUUUUACAUAGUAAAUGAAUAUGAAUACAUUCUGCUUAUAAGCUGUUUCUUUGUAAAUGAUUUUCUACAUGAAAAAAUAAUGUUUCAUGAAUGUGCAUAUAUUAUGUAAGCGCUUUACGAUUGUUAGAUUUCUUUGUUAGAUCUGCAAUAAUGAAUCCCGCCUUUUAUGGUAAAGACAUAAGUUAAUUAAAUCAACUUCUACGAGAAUGCUCACUAUUAACUAUAGAAAGAGCAAUGAUGAUGUUUUGGAUCCACUAAUCAUAUAGCUAACCAAAAGAAUUUUUUUAAACUGAGAAAAUCAGGUUAAAUAUAGUGAUAACUAUAAAGAUAUGAAGAGCUAUAGGCUUAACCUAUUGGUUAACAUCGUUUUGGUAUACACUUAAUUUUAUUGACUAGAAAUUCUAAAAACUUGAUUGAAUGGGCCAACUAAAUCAUGAUAUAUUCAUAUCACUAAUAAGUCUAUAAGAUAAAGUCAAUGAAAAAUUAUAAUGACAAUUCUUUAUAAACUCUAUAGCAUGUAUUAUGGUCCAUGACUAUAUACACAUAUUCAUGAAAAGUACUGAAUGAGCGAGUAUAGAUAUAAUGAUGAAGAUCAUUUACCAAAUAGUCAAAGAAUUCAAGUACAUCACGUCUAUAUCUAUGUGUAAAGUUGGUAUAUAUACUUACUCCAUCAAAGGUUCAAGAAGCAUUUCUUAUCAAUCAUAUACUAUUUCUGGCCACUGGGACUAAUACCAAGUCAAAGCUAUUGGAGCAUCAAUCUCGUUUGUGAGGGAUUUGUGAAAUUUUUUAGUGUAUAUAUAUAUAUAUAAUACUAAUGUUCCGAUGUUGACCGUUGGUAGCACUUAAUUAUCUUACAACUUCAGUCUCUUUUUUUAAAUAGAGUCUUGGGCCAUUAAUUUUAUUAAGUCGAAAACUUUAUAUAUAGUCAACUCUUUUAUUUGAUCUCCUUAGUUUAAAUCCUUCAUACAUCUCGUUGCUAAUUCAGUUAUAGUAAGAAGUUAUAGUAAAACCAUGCCAGGGAGAGCAACCACUGUUUCUAAAAUCGUUGCACACCCAUCCAUACAGUAUGUAGGAUAUUAUAAUAAAAAAUCGGGUUUGUAGUGAGAAAAAUUACAAAAACUAGUAACUCAAAUAGGGUAACAACCAAAAUACUAGAAUUCCCCUUAUAAUAAUUUUUAAAAAACCGGGCUUGUAGUGAGAAAAAUUACAAAAACUAGUAACUCAAAUAGGGUAACAACCAAAAUACUAGAAUUCCCCUUAUAAUAAUUUUAAGAAUCACUUAAUUACUCAUAACACAUGAAGCAGUCCAAUACUAAUCCAGAGGUAUAAAACUAAAGUUCUCUUUCAAGCUCAAUAGUCUAUUAACUAAAAUUUUUAGCUUACUCUUCUAAGGUGGGGAUCAUGAUCAUUUUUAUGAAUUGAUAUAGAAAGGCUGAAAUAAAAUUUCAAUAAUUAGGUAGACUAAAAAAGAAGAAUGUUAUUAAUGAAAUACUAGACUAUCUAUCUUAUUAGGAAUAAAUGAAACAAGUAUUUGAAAAAACACAUAAUGUAACAUUAAAUAGAUAAAAUAAUGAUUCAGAUUUUAAAUAGUUUAUGAAAUCCACCAAAUGAAAACGUACAAGUUAAUGUAAAGUUUGGGAGAAACUGAAAACCAAGUAAGAAGAUUUAAUUGUUGCAUUAUAUAAAUGCAAUCUACUUGGAGCUUAAUGUGAUAGUAUGAGUAAAACUUGAAACUUACACUAAAUUAUUAAUUGUUGUGUCAUGUUUUUUUUGAAAGUGAAUUGUUGUAUCAUGUUGAAACUUAAUAUGUUAAAAAUGAUUUACUAAUGUCACUUCAAAUGAUAAUGUGUAUAAGAUGUUGGGUUUGUCUACACUCAUUAUUAGAAGUGAGAAGGAAAAAUCAAGAGGAAAAAAUUUAGAAGAAGGCUCGCAAUAUGUCUCGAGAAAUAAGUAGAAAUUGGAGUUGAUAAUAGACGGAGAAAUAUGUGUGUCAUAUGUUAGUUCCCUUUUGGAUUCUUUUCGAUUUACGAGCACAAUUAAUCCAUUCCCCCUAAAUAUAAUUAUCAAUAUAAAUUUACUAAUUUUAAUAAAUAUUAAAUGAUGAGUUGCGUAAUUGUUAUACAAGUUGAAAGUUGAACCGGUAUAUUAAUAAUAAAACCUUUUUGAAGAUAAAUUGACACAAAAAAUAAACGGUUCAUUAUGGCAUUACGUGAAGAUCAUUGAUCAUAUAUGUGUGUGUGUUGUGUAUAUAUGUAUGUAUAUACUUAUAUGUGAGAGAUAUGUUAUAUAUUAGAUAGUGAUUUGUUAUGUGUAAACUAGUUAGUGAUUAAAAAUUGGUGAGGCACUGAUUUUUAAUUUGUAGGCUAAUUUAGUUUGUAUAGGCCGCAGCCUCGGUGGCCACAGUGGUGGGCUAUGGCGCGUCCGGGCUGACCGUAUAUGUGGGUUGGUCUGGUGGGAGUGGAUGUGGGUGAGUAAGUGACAGUAUAUGAGUGUAGGUGAGGAAGUGGCUAUGGUUAUGAAAGAAAUUUUUGGUUUUUAUUCAAUUUUAUUUUUAUUAUAUAUAUAUAUAUAUAUAUAUUAAAUAUUUGAUAUAUUUUUUCAAAAUACAUAUUUAUAAUUUUAACAUAUAAUUAGAUUUAAAAUUUUCAAACAUGUGAUGCCAUAAUUUAUAUUAGAAAAAUCUAUUUUCCUUCAUCUUACAUUUUAAAGAAAAGUGAUUUUGCUAGCUACCUAGAUAAAAUUUGUAUUUAUAUAUAAUAAUAUGUUAUUUUCUUAUUGGCAUGUGUAAAUAAUUUCAGUAAGUGUAAAUAAAUGUUUCCUUAUUAAAAAAAACCUCUAUAAUAAGAAGUAUGAGAGCACAACUUAUAAUAAAGGAAUUAUUUUAUAUUUUUUUUCAUCUUUGAAAAUACAAUAAAUUAUUCAAAUAAAAUAAUUAUACAAGCAAACUGAUUAAAUGAGGGUAAUUGUCAAGAAAUUAUUGAUUAAGAUAAAUGAUAAUGUAUAGAGUUCAAGAAGUAUUUGUUGAAUGUGGAUAUAUUAUAUUGAUCAAUUUGAUAAAAUAUACUAUUCCCCACAUUUUGUUAAACAUAAUAUAAUUUUGGCUAUAAAAUAAAAGAAGUGUGUGGGUGAUUCCAGAUUAUUCUUAUAAGUACAUGCAUUUGUUUUUAAUUUUGAAUGCAUGUAUUAGUCCAGAUGCAUAAUCUCUAGAAUAUUCUCGUCUUUUGCUUUCUAGCAUUUAAUUAGUCUUUAGAUCUUUCUAUUGAGUCCUAUAUAAAGCCUCUUGUACCAAAUCAUUUGUCAUCAACUAAGUUAAAGCAAUUCAUUAUAUAUAAAUUUCUCUUUUCCUAAAUAUCUGAGUUGUGGGAGUUUUAGUGAAAACCUUUCUUCCGCCAUCCAACACAUUUUUAGCCCACAUCCUGGUUCUAAGUCUAUUCUAGUUUUGUCCUUCUCCUUAGAUUUCCUCGAUUUCUUCACCUCCCCUUGGUUUCUCCGCUAUAAAAUUUUACACACAGAUAUAUAUAUAGUCUUAGAAGAAUGGCCAUGAUCACUAAAGCUAGCUGGCUGUUAAUAAGUGAGAAUUGAAAUGAUUUGCCGAUUAAAUUUAAUUAGCAAUGGUGAUCUAUGUAUGCCUAUGUGUUUAAUUCCCUUGAUAAAAGAUGGUGCCAUGUAAGUUCAAGAGUUCUAAUUUAAUUGUGAGGAUAAUAUUAUGUAACCAUUUUGAUUUGAUGGGUAAUCGUUAUUUAAUCUUCUUUUACUCAUAAAUUAUAGGGUUUUGGCGUUCGAGAUUAUUCUUGGUACAUCUGUAAAAGCCCUAGAAGGAAGCCCGUUACACCGGCAGGCGAAGCUGGUACACUUUUGACGGGGUUAAAGCUCUGGAGGCAUAUGAUGAAGGUGGUGUUAUAAAUAGAAAUUCUGGUCUUCAUGGAAUUGCAUCUUCUAUUGGACGCACUUUAGAAGGGCGAUUUCACGUCAUAUGUCUCGAUGAAUUGAUGUACGUUGGUAUUUGUCCUCUAUUGUUACCCUUCACUACAAUUUUUUACCUGAUGACCCACAAAACAUCGGAUAUGCUGUAAAUCUGGUCUUCUAAAUCCGAAAUUGCCAGGUGGAGAAAUCCCAUGUGGCUUCAUCGGAUAUGCUGUAAAUCUGGUCUUCUAAAUCCGAAAUUGCCAGGUGGAGAAAUCCCAUGUGGCUUCAUGGGAUAUGCUGUAAAUCUGGUCUUUAUAUUGAUUACCAAAACGUAUCCUGGGUCACCACCUCUGGCCAUGGCCUUAGAGAGACUCUCUUCUAUCAUCUAUUCUCGCUCCUGCAAGUUUAUAGAACUAUGAAAUAUAUGUAUAAGGCCCUCCCAUUCAUAAAAGAUGGAGCUGUAUUUUUGGAUGGUGGAAUAAUGAGUCCUGAUGUUUUUACCUUGGCCAUUGGGUUUUUUUUUGCAUAACGUUGAUCAAAAUUUCCUCUUAGUAGCAUAGCCAUUGUGACAACUUUAAUUGUACAUUCACAUUUCUUCUGUUUCCUCUUAGUAGCAUAGCCAUUGUGACAACUUUAAUUGUACAUUCACAUUUCUUCUGUUGCAACUGUACAAUUUCUUGGAACAAGUUUAUAUGAUUAGCAAAGAAUUCUUUGAUAGAAGAGUAUGUUAUUAUUUGUUAGUAUGAUAUAUAUUACUCAUAUUACUCAUAAAUAUGCAAAUAAGGCACUAGGAUAUGAAAGUAUUAAUUCAAUAACAAAAUUAAAACGUAAAACUAAAAUUAAAAGAAUAAAAGAGAAGGAAAAUUCUUAUGAAACGAAUGAGUUUGAUUCUUUUCGUUUCCUUUGUCGGCGAUGUUUUAGUAAAUUGCAUGUGAUAUACAAAUAGCAUAAAACAAAAUUUUGUGCUAUUUUUUUUUAUUUUUAGACCACUAUUAAAUCUAUCAACAAUAAACGGCCACCAUAUCUGUAUGUAUUUUGUUUCUAAUAUAUAGUAUUAAAAAAUGUAAAUUGGAAUCUUAUAGAAGCUAACAAUAAAAAUUUUUAUUUGGUUUCACGAUCAAAAUAAUAUAAGUAAAAUAAUUCAAGAUCAUUCAUUAACUUUCUCCUAAUUUUAAUUUGUGAAUUUUAUUUGAUUUUCAAGUAUAAACAAAUUACCAUCCCUACAUAUAAUAAUCAUUAUAAAUUUACUAAUUCUAAUAAAUUUUUGAAUGAUAAGUUUGUAAAUUAUUUUGUUAUACUGGUCGAGACUUGAACUAUUAUAUUAAUACUAAAAAGCUUUAGAAAAGACAAAUUGACUCAAAAAUAAUAUAUUAAUUUGUGAAAUUUUUUCUCACUAUAAAAUUUGUUCAUAUUAAUAAGUAAUAAUGUGCUUCCUACAUAUUUAUUAGCUAAUUAAUAAUUUCCAUCAACUGAAAAAGCACUGAUGUUCGAAAACAAACCUUGUCUUGGCACUUCACCUCCAAGUUUGUUGUGGGAAAGAUUGAGGAAUUCGAUCAGAUGAAACCCAUCAAAAAUAUUUGGAAUAUCCCCGGAUAUAUUAUUACUUGAGAGAUCUAAAUUAUGAAGACUUUUCAAGGAUUUGAAAGAAGAUGGAAUUCUACCUUGAAAAAGAUUUCCGCCCAUGUACAGCCCCUCCAACAUCACACAAUCACCCAGGGUUGUGGGUAUUUCUCCUGUCAGUCUGUUAUUCCAAACAUCUAGUGUAACCAAUUGUUUCAAGUUUCCGAUGUUGAAUGUUAAGGGUCCUCCUGAGAAUAGAUUUUGGUCCAAAUAAAGAAUUAAACAUUGGGAAGAAAACCCAAUUUCCGCAGGUAUUAUUCCUCCAAGACUAUUGUUAGAAAGGUACACUUCCUGUAUAGUUGAGAUGUUAAAUAAUUGAGGAGGUAAGCUUCCUCGGAGCAUAUUAUACUCUAAACUGAGUACGCCUAAUUGAGUAAUGUUGCCAAUAGAAGUGGUAUUACUCCAGAUAUGUUGUUGCCACCGAAAUCUAGUUCACCCAACUGUGAUAGCUCUCCAAUUGAAUCUGGAAUAGUCCCUGUCAAAAAGUUUCGUGCAAUCCCAAGGUCUUUCACGUUGACAAGUUUUCCAAUAUCACGGGGUAUGCUUCCGUAUAUGUGGUUUCCAAACAAAUAGAGUGUCUCUAUGGUGG